UUUAAUUGGACUCAAUUUCAAUUUUCAUUCAAUUUUAGACCAAAUUUUUAAUCUUUAGAUCUCAACCGUAGAUAAAUUGAUCUAAUGUCUGGAUCAAACCCCAUCCCUCUUUCCUUUUAAACCAAAAAUAAAAUCCUAAUCCCUCACUUUUGGCCAAAGAAUUAGCCAUUCCACCACACUCUACAGCUUCAUCUUUCUCUUUCUUUCUCGCUCCCCCAUAAUAUGACCGCCGCGGUGGACAAUCAAAUGCCGGUGCCGCUUGUCACCGACGAGACCACCAUCUGGAAUAGCUCUUCAACUACCGCCACAGCAAAUCAUGGGAUUGAACGAUGUGGAUCUUACGGAUGAUGGCGAUGGAGGAGGAGAUGGUGUUGGUGGAGAAGAUAAGGCAUCGGCGGUUUCGUGUUCGAUUUGUCUUGAAGCUGUAACCGACAAUGGGGAUAGAUCCUGGGUUAAGCUUCAAUGUGGACAUCAAUUUCACCUUGUUUAGUUCGUUUGACAAUUAUUUAAAUUAAUUAAAUUUAAUUGGUACUGUUUUGUUUUAUAAGUAAGCAAAAAACUUGUUGGUAGUAAAAUUUAGCUAUGGAUUAUUUGGGAUCUGAUUAUUCCUAAAGUUGUGUACUUUUUUCCCUUUGGGGGAGUAGGAUUUUGAUUUUAUGAAGAAUUGUUGGUUAAUUUUCUGUACCUUAAACAAGGGGGGCGAGCAGGUUUUCUGUUAAUUUAGACCAUAAUUGCCAAUUAUAGAGAAUUAGCAUGCCGUAAGGUAGUGGUAUGUCUUACACUUUGAAAGGAUCUCAUCCUCAGGUAUUUCCAAAUUUGUGACAAAUGGGUGUUAAGAGUUGAAUGGACUUCAUCGCACGAUGAUGAUUAUCAUAGUAUAUCAUCAUAGUACUUAGGUUAUCAGUUUCCAAAACAUAGCAUUGCAUGUGUCAAUUGCCUGGGUUAUGUGUAUGUCUUGGUACAGUUCAGCGGCUGAUGUUGAAGGAAUACGAAGAAUGGCUAGGCAGUCUAAGCAAUUGUCGAUUUGUUCCUUAUACGGCAGAAUACUACUAAGAAAAUUACAGGUUCAAAGAUUUUUGCAGAAUUAUGUUAAUAAAAUCUAAUAUUUAAGGAUAUUAAAGGAAAUUGAUUACUUUUAUAACUUUGGAAGUAACAUGGAGCAAGAAAGGAGGAGGUCAGUCAAUAAAGAAAGAAAAAAGAAGUUGAUUAAUCAAAGGUUCAACUGAUUAUCAUGCAUAUGUUGUAAAGAUGCAGUCUUUGGACAUAUACCAUGCUAGAUAAAAGAAUUUCAAUCUUCUUUGCUUGGAGUUGCUCGUCCAGUUUUUGAGUCUUAAAUCUGGGGUCAAGUAGCUAUAACAUUGAUUAAGUGACUUGAAUUAGAGAGUUAAAAAUUCUAAGUGUAGUGUUUUGAACUAUGUAGUCACUUGAAAUGUGAAUUAGAGAGUUAAAAAUUUUAAGUGUAGUGUUUUGAAAUGUGUACUAAUGACUUCAAAAUAAUCAAGUGUAGUCACUUGAGAAGUGGAUUAACGACUAAGAGUUAAAAAUUGUAAGUGUAGUGUUUUGAAAUGUGUACUAGUAACUUCAAAAUAAUCAAGUGUAGUCACUUGAGAAGUGGAUUAACGACUUGAAAGGUGAACUUGUGUUUUGAAAUUAUUCCCUUCGUUUCGUUUUAGUUGACUCUCUUUCUAAAAAUAUUUGUUUCAAUUUAGUUGUCUUUGAUAAAAUCAAGAGCAUUUUAUUAUGUUUUUUCAAUACUACCCUUAAUAUUAAAUGACUAAACAAAGUGUAUUUAUUCAAAUUUAUAUUUUCAAAACAUAAUUAAUAAGGCUAAUUUGGUAAAAUAAACACCUAAUUAAUAUUUUCUUAAUGGAUGUGCCAAAUCCAUAGGGGUCAACUAAUUUGAAACGAAGGGAGUAGUAAAGUGUAAUCACUUGAAAAUGUGAAUUCAUGACUUGAAAUUGAUUUAGUGUUGACACUUGAAAUGUGAAUUCAUGUCUUGAACAUGGUUAGGUUUAGUCACUUGAAAUAUGAAUUAGAGAGUUGAAAAUGGUUAAGUGUAGUGUUCUGAAAUUGGUUAAGUAUGGUGACUUGAAAUGUCAAUUAGCUAUUUGAACAUGGUUUGAGUGUAGUGACUUGAAAUGUGAAUAAGUUAUUUGAAAUUGUGAACUAGUGACUUGAAAAUAGUUAAGUGUAGUUACUUGAAAUGUGACUUAAUUACUUGAAAGUGGUUAAGUAUAGUGACUUGAAGUGAAUGAUUAAGUGUAGUGACUUAAAAAUGAUUAAGUAUAGUUAUUUGAAAUGUAAAGUAGUUACUUGAAAAUGGUUGAGCAUAGUAACUUGAAAUUUGAAUUAAUUAUUUGAAAAUGGUUAAGUGUAGUUACUUGCAAUGUGAAUUAGUUAUUUGAAAAUAGUUAAGUGUAGUGACUUGAAAUGUCUACUAGUUAUUUAAAAAUAGUUAAGUGCAGUUACUUGAAAUAUGUACUAGUGACUUGAAAAUAGUUAAGUGUAGUUACUUCAAAAUGGUUUAAGUAUAGUGACUUGAAAUGUCAAUUAGCUAUUUGAAAAUGGUUUGAGUGUAGUGACUUGAAAUGUGUACUAGUGAAUAAGUUAUUUGAAAAUUAUUAGGUGUAUUGACUUGAAAAUAAUUAACUGUAGUUACUUGAAAUUGCGAACUUGUGAUUGAUCUAUUCAUAUUUAUCAUGAUGUUUUUUAGUUGUACGCAAAUAUAAAUAUAAUAAGGACUAAAAGUUUAUCUGAUUGGCUUUUAUACUUUGCAUUUUUAUGUAGCCAAGUGAUGCGACUAGUGGACCUAUUUCGCCCAUGGAUGCAAGAAGAUUACGUAGUGAUAGUGAUCCUAAUGACAGUCGUCGAUUUUGUUGCAAAUUGUCUUGAAUAUUCAAUUAUGAUGAUGUAAUUGUGUGGUUGGAGCAAAUCUUCGAAUAUUGAAACUUUUGUGUUUAAUUUUGAGUUUGGAAUUUGAAGAUACUAGUUAAUGUUGAAAAUUUGGAGUUUGAAGAUUCUAAUGUUGAAAAUUUAAUUUUGAAGUUUAAUGUUCAAUGUAUUUUUGAGAUGCUUGUGAAUUACAAUGUUUAAUUAGUCAUGUUGUGUUAAUGAUAUAUGAAUUAAAUAAAUAUUUGAUUGUAGGUUAUGCCUAAAGGAACAAUUAAAUUUGAGCUAAAAUUAGAAUUUAUAAUUUGUUAUUGAAAAUUGAUGGUCCCACUAAUUUUUCUUUAAAAAAAAUUGCGGAGGUUUUAAACCACCGCAAUUUUUAAAUAAAAAUUUAUUAUAAAAGAAUUAAAUUUAGAGUAACCUUCGCAAUUUUUUAAUAAAAAUUUAUUAUAAAAGAAUUAAAUUUAGAGUAACGGAGGUCUCGACAGCCCCAAAAUAACCCUCACAAAUUAAUUAUGAAGGUCUGAAAAAAUUGUCGCAAAUUGUUUGUGACGGCUCGUAUUAUGGGGAUUUUGGGAACCGUUGAAAUCACAAUUUACGGGGUUCAAAACCCCUGUAAAUCUUAAAAUUAACCUUCAUAAUUUGACUCAUUUUUUGUAGUGUACCUACGAGGAGUAAUUGUUUUAGUCCUGCGAAAUUCGAUGAUUCAAUCAUAUACUUCGUUGUUCAUACUCAUCUCAAAUAUAUGAAACCGUUAUUUGGGACGUGGAUUUGUCAAAAACAGUCUCCCUAAGAUAAGCGUGAAAUUAUAUAUCCAUACUGUUCUUUUAAAACCCCUCUGGUGAAACUAGACUGGGUAUGCUGGAGGUUGUUGUCGUUGUUGUUGCAUCUCAAUAUAUGAAAGAAAGAAAGAAAGAAAUAGAAUGACCGAAACUUACGAGGAAUUUGGGGUGCUUUUUCAACAACCUCGGGCAAAUCAAAAUUGAUUCCAAGUUGAAUACUUGAAUGUUUUUCUAAAAUCAUCUUCAAGCAAUCUCCGCCACUCCCCCCAACAUCAACAAGUGUUUUCACACCUUGAAAACCAUCAUAUCCUUCUAAAAUUGCCUUCAUAAAUGGCACAGAAACACCAGACAUUGCAUUUAACAUAAUGCUAUUCAUCUCUGGAUUUUUCCCAUAGUAAUUGUAGGCUGGCUCGCCAUUUGCCUUCACAAAUGGCUCUGUGGACGAAUCAUUGACAGCCUCAUGAACCAUAGUCCACGCCCUCAUUAAUGCGUCCUGAUGAUGUUGGAGCACGUACGAGCCAUGGGAUAAGCUGUCCACGUCCGUGACUAGGGAUUUUCCUACCUCAGCCAAUGAAUAUCUGUAUACAACAAACAAUAACUAAAUCACAAUUCUAAAUAAUUUAGUAGGACCGACUAUAUUAAUUUGGGAUACUCAUGGUAAUAUAAGAUAAAUUACAUUGCUGAAUUGAAACCCACUGGAUUAUAGAAGUUUGGUGAAAAAAAUUGUAAGAUCUUGAAUAUUUGCUAGGUAGUAUUGAAUUACGCAAAGGGGAAAGGACAUGAGAUGGUAAUUUUAAAAAAACUGGCCCAUAUUUAAAAAAGGUGGAUAUGCUGUAGCCGUUCAGCUAAAUUAAUUUUCCUUUUUAGCCAUUUGAUCCAAUUGAGCACAUACAGUCUCUAUACUUAAUUGAUACACUUUUAUACUAUAUUGAUACACUUUUAUAUUAUAUUGAUACACUUUUUAAAAAAAAAAACAAAAUUUUAUGCAGGUACGUGCAGUUUCUAUACCCAAUUGAUACUCUUUUAUACCAUAUUGAUACACUUUUAUACUAUAUUGAUACACUUACAGUGUCCAUAUAUUCAUACUAGAUUGAUACAUUUUUAGGAUGCAUGUAGAAACUAUAUAGAGUAGUAUAAAAUAUGUAUAUAAAUAAUAAUUGUAGUUAAAAAUUAUAUAGAAUAUGUAUAAAAAUACUAUAAUUAUUAUAUAGAAUAUGUAUAUGUAUAAAAACUGUAUCAAUUGUAUUAUAUUAAAAGUAUAUGAUAUUGUAUUUUAUUAAAUAAAUAAGUAAAACUAAACAAAACAAAUAGUAUAUUAUUUUAAUAAUGUUAUAUCACUUAAAAAAGAUUGUCAUUUAUUGUCAUGUAAAUGAUUUAGAAUGGAACUUAUAAAGUUGAAUUGUUCAACGUCUACUUUGACUUUUGAAAGUGAAUUGGACUAAACUUUGCAUUAUUAAAAAGGAAAAGGAGCCAAAAAAUCAUGGGCCCAUUAAAGAUGAAAAGUCGGUCAGUACACAGCCGAAUUGUGAUGCUUAAUGGCCGAAUUAUGAUGUUUAAUGACUAUUUACUGAGUUUUUAAAUUUAGGUACUAGUUUUGUGAAAUUAUUUUAGUUUUAGGUGUUAUUUUUGUCAUUUUCUCUUGCACAAAAUACUAACUUAAAUUUCAUUCAUGAUCACUUAGUUUUGUGUUUAUUAUGCAAAAAUUACUUUUCUUUCAUUCAUUACACAAAAGUUAUUUAGCUUUGCUCCGGCCAUCACAAAAGUCACUAAGGCUGAAUUUUAGAAUAAUUUCAUUGAAAAAAUAAUGUGGCGAUCUUAAUUAGUUCUUAAUUUUAAUUUAAGAGAAUAUAAUAUAUUAUCUUAUAGACUAUUUAACGGAAGGAUAUCAAUUCCUUAAUAGAUUGGGCUAUCUAAUAAAGACUAUUUUCAUAAAAAAAAUUAUUGGUAUUUUUAUGAAACAUUUCAUAAUAUUGCAUUAAUCUUCCAAAAAAAUGUAUCAAAAAAGAGUAAUAAACAAGAUAAAUUCUUCAAAACACAUAAAAUAGAAAUAUGUGUAUAAUAUUAUUUUUUAAAAGAUUAUUUUAAUUUUUUGAGGAUAAUAACAUACUAAAAAUAGUUUUCAAAUAAAACCUUUUUAAUUUUAUCCUCGAAUAAGUAUUGUCAAAAUUUAUACAAAUAAUGUUAUUGAUAGUUGUGCUAAUAAAAGUCAUAAAAUAUAAGUAAUUUAAUAGAUAAAAUAAACUAUUAGCUAUUUAAUUUUUAUAUUUAUCAAUUGAAUUAACUAAACAAUAUGUAAUUUAUCAGAAACUGAAUAUUAUAAUAAAAACUUUUAAGAGAAUUAACCGAUUAGUCAAACAAUUAAAAGCAUAAUGCAAACUCAAUAAAUAGAGUAGUUUAUCAUAUUAUUAUGAUAUAUCGAAUGCAAAGGCCCAAGUGGCAAGAAAAUAAAUAUAUAAAAAAAAAUUAUCAACAUGUCACAAUUUUAGAGGAAAAAUGUAAUUUUAUCAACAACAUGUCACAAUUUUAAAAGGAGAAACAUAAUUUUAUCAACUACAUAUCACAAUUGUAAAGAAUUUUUAAAAAAUUAAAAUUAUCAUAAUAUUAUCAACUACAUGUCAUUAUUUUAAAGGAGAAAAAUAAUUUACCAAUACAUGUCUCAAUUUUAGAGGAUUUUAAGAAAAUUAAAACUACUAUAGUGUCAUUGUGAGGACUACCAAAUUUUGGAAUCCUCCGUUAUAUAUAAGUAAGUAUAAAAAAUAUAAUUUUAUUUCAUAAAAAUAUCAAUUAAUUUUUUUUUAUGAAAAUAGUUUCCACUAACCUAAUCUAUUAGGAAAUUGGUAUUUUUUAUUUAAAUAAUUCCUAAGAAAAAUUAGGUUGGCACAUACAAAAAGGAUCAAGAUAUGAUUAAUAUAUUAUAUUCUCUUAAAUUAAAAUUAAGUACUAAUUAAAGUUGUCAUAUUAUUUUUUUGGUGAAAUUAUUGUAAAAUCUGAUUAUAGUGACUUUUAUAAUGAUCGGAGUAAAGUAAAUAACUUUUGCAUAAAGAAUGAAAGAAAAAUGACUUUUGUGUAAUAAACACAAAGCUAAGUGACUAGUGAUGAAAUUUACUCACACUAACUAUUGCGAAAACUUUUUUGGAUUUUUUUAUUUUUUGGAGUGGAGGGAGGGAUAAGAAGUGACUUAUUAUGUCCUACCAAACAUGUUUCUAUUUUUGGAUUCCACUUGUUGUUGCCGCAACAACUUUUGGAUUUCAUUGUUAUUGCCGCAACAUACGUAGAUAUUUCGCGUGUUGACUAGAAACACCACACGUGUUGUAGACUUGUACUUCAUAUUAGAAGUCUGCCUUGAUUUUCAUCAUUGGUUAAGAAGAUAGAAGAAGAAUACGCCUAAAAAGCUAAGAUAAAUUAAUUUUUUUAGUGUUAUAUCAAGCUUAUAAUAUAUAACUUUUCUUAGAUUCUUGUUUAUUAACUGACGAUGCAUAACUUUAACACAUAUAUUUGCUCCAUAAUUUAAGAAAUAAAAAUUUUCUCUCUCCAAGCAAUAGUAAGAGAACACAUUUAGUAGUGACGGAUCUAGAAUAAACAUAAUAGGUCGAUCAAAAUAUUAAAAAAAGAUAUAUGUAAAAAAAAACAAAACUAUAUUCAUCCAUUUUAGAUUUUGAAUUCAUCACUGAUAAACUGUCAAUGAAAAUAAAAAGGAUCAACUCCAUGUUUAAUUAGUGUUAUAAGUACCUUCUUUGAGAGACGUCAUCAACUACGUGCUCCUCGAAUACACCAUAGCUCAUGAGCAUGCGUAAGAUUCGCUGAAGGUUCUCAGAGUCACCGCCGCCCUGAGGGCCGCGGAUUUUAGCGAGGAUUUCAGCGGGAGAGAGUGGGGUAUUUGAUCCAACUUCCCAAAUAGCGUCAGCUACCUUGAGUUUAACAACGGCAUUAAGAGACAUAGGUACACUUAUCAUGUUAGCUAAUUCCAUUAUAGCUAACCUUGCAUUAUUAUUGUUGCUUGUUUUCCCACUUGCUUUCUCCAUGUUUUUUACACUUUUUUUUGGCCUUGUUUUUGGGAACUAUAUGUUCUACCUUUCGAUUGGGGAUAUCAUGUGAUUAUUGUGGGAACGUUAUUGGCCAAGUGUGAUCACUUUAUAGUGGACAAGCGUGACUCGAUUCAAAAUUUAAGUUUUAUUGAUUUAAUAUUUAUUAUUUUAAUAUCGAAUCUAUUAUUCCUUUUAAACUAUGAAUUUAUAUGCAUUACUUAUUACUAUAAUUUUUAUACAUAAAUUUAUGUUAGUUGAUUAAGAUAAUCCCACUAAUACUCUUCAUCCGCCUCGGAUAAGUUGGUGUUUUAUAAGUGCAACUUUAAUAAUAAAAAAUAAAUUCAAAAUUUAAAUUUUAUGAAUUUACUAACUCUUAAACGGGUGGAUCUCAAGAUCCCCUUAUUGGUGGGCAACCUUUAGCAUGGUUGUCCUUCAAACGCAUGUCCAAUUUCCAUUACUCUUUUUAAUAGUUGUAGCGAAUAUAUGGUCCAGUACGUUUUUGUGUACCUCAACUAACUUCAUAAAGUAUCUCAUUACCUUCUACCGAUAUAGGUACAAUUCCAUAUAUCCAUCAAGGUUUUUAAAAAUUAGAAAUAUUCACCUAGUAUUUUUUGUUUUAAUAAGAAUUUAAAUUCGAAACUUCAUAAUUAUCAAUCUACUUUGUUACUUGCUAAACCACAUACACAUAUGCUUCCAUACUAUUUAUUUUUUCUUUUGUUUCACUUGAUGUGACAUAAUUCAACAUAUAAAGAUCGAAAUAUUUAAUUCUCGAUGUAUUUUUUAUAUAAAAUGUCAAUGUUUAAAAAGACAUUUGUAUAAUUAGAAAUUACUAAGAAGGUGAUAAAUCAUAAUACUAACAAUUCAAAGCAUUUAAAUUAUUUAUAUUCAGAUCUCUUUAUAUAACGUGAUCUCGUUAUAACAACAUUUAACUAUAGUGGUUUAAUUUAAUUUUCUCUAAAGCCGAUUUUUCAUGUUAUAUUUUACUUCUCUAUAGCGGUAUUCUACCUAUAAUAACAAUGGUGUUUAUUAUAGUGAUACAUUCUUUGUAAAAUUAUCUCUUUAUAACAUCAUACUCAAAUAUUAUAUAAUAAUAAUAAUUUGUAAGAAAUAUAUCAUGUACAAAAUAAAAUAUCAAAAUAUUUACGGUAAUCAUCAUUAAUGUCAUGCACACGGUAAAUUUCAAGUACGAAUAUCUAAUUUAAAGAAAAAUUAUAUUUAAAUGAUGCACAUUAGCUAUUUCAUAACUUCACCUAAAAAAGAUUAUAUUUUUAUCUUUUUUAGAUCUAUGUUCUUUCUAAUUUUACAUACUUUUAAUUUGUAUAUAAUAAUUAAAUGAGAUCUAAAUGUCAAAUAUCUAUAUACAUAUUCAAUAACACCUCUAUAUAUGAGUCAUAAAAUUCUCGGACAAACAAUAUUAAUGGAGAAAGAUUUGACGGUAUUGAGAACUUUUUAUUUAUUUACUUCACAAACAAUAAUUGUGUGACAUAAAAGUGAAAUUUUAAUAUAGCCUUCACGUGUACAUUUUUACGUAUGCGUUCAUGUUAUGUUUUUCUUUUUGUAAUGAUAACUGUAGGACGUCACUGUGUGAGAGAGACAAAUCAACUUUUUUUUUUCCUUAACAAUAUAAGUAGACAAAUCAAAAUCUUCGUUUUUUUUUUCCACGACAUAUCAUAGUUUAUGGCUUUUUAAAUUUUUUCUAUGGAUGGAAAGAGAAAUUUCCAAAAUCAGUGGUACAUUCGUAAAAGGAAAAGCUCCACCUGAUCUUCUUUCCUCUAUAAUGUACUAUAACAACAUCGUGGAAAUUUUUUGCACCUUUCUUUUCUUUUCUAUUUUUUUGGUUAAAACGUUGGCAGUUUGCAUUGAUCAUUUACGUGCAAACACGUUAUAAAUUUAAGUUUGGCAUCCUAAACUUUUGUAGGAGAUCAUUGAACAACGACAACAAUAAUAACAUACUCAGUAUAUUCUCACUAAGUAAGGUCUGAGGAGGAUAAGUGUACGCAGUUCAUACCACUACCUCAGAGGUGAGAUAGAGAGGUUGUUUUCAAUAGACCUCCAGCUCAAGAUAAAACAAUUUAGAAAAGAAAUAGUAAAAGGACAAGAUACAAUAAAAAUUAUCACACCCAAAAAUACUACAGAGAAGAUUCACCAAGUAAUAAAACAAACAAUACAACAUUUUGAAAUUAUACUAGUACUAUAACUACUAACAUGGAUAACAAAUUCCUCCCCCUACUAGCACUGACGCACUCGUUCCUAUUAUCCUUCUACCGUAAUCUACCUCCUCCUCACCCUCAUAUCUAAGGUCAUGUCCUCGGUAAGCUGAAGUUACUUCAUGUCAUGUCUAAUCAACUCCCUCUACCUCACCUAAAUACAUCCCUAGCCAACCUAUCACACCUCUGCAUUAGGCAUCCGUGCUCCUCCUUGUCAAAUGUCUAAACCAUCUCAACCUCGCUUUCCUCAUCGUGACUUCCACCAAAGUCACUCCCACCUUAUCUCGAAUAACCUCAUUUUCUAAUCCUAUUUUUCUAGUACAUCUACACAUCCAUCAUAACAUUCUCAUCUCCGCCACCUUCAUCUUUUAGAUAUGAGACUUUUUGACAGGCCAACACUCUGCCUCAUUAUAACAAAGUUAGUCUAACCACCAUUAUGCAAAACUUGACUUUGAGUUUAGGAGGUAUCAUUUUGUCACACAAGAUUUCAAAAGUGAGCCUCCAUUUCAUCCUCUGAUGAGUGACAUCCUUGUCAAUCUAUCCAUUCUCCUAAAUCAUAUAUCCCAGAUACUUAAAACUAUCUCUCUUAUAUAUGAAAUGAGUAUCAAGUUUUACAACCACAUCGGACUCAUGUGACACCUCACUAAACUUAUACUCCAAAUAUUCCAUCUUGGACCUACUCAACCUAAAUUCUUUAGACUCUAGGAUUUGUCUCCAAACCUCUAAUUUAGCAUUAACUUCACCACAGGUCUUACCAAUUAAGACUAUAUCAUUUGCAACUAGCAAAUAUUAAGGCACCUCGCCUUUAAUUUGCCAUGUCAAAACAUCCAUCACAACGGUAAAUAGAAAUGGGCUAAGAGUCGAUCCUUAGUGUAACCCCAUCAAGAUGGGAAAGUGCUCUGAGUCCUUUCCCAAAGUCCUAACCCGAGUCUUGGCUCGGUCAUACAUAUCCUUAAUCGCCCUAGCAUACACCAUAGGUACACCUCUAGUCUCCAAGCACCUCUAUAGAACCUCAUUGAGAACUUUAUUGUAGGCCUUCUCUAAGUCGAUAAACACCUUGUUUAAGUCCUUCUUUCUCUCCCUAUACUUCUCCACCAGUCUACUAACGAGAUAGAUGACUUCAGUAGUCGAGCGCCCUAGAAUAAAUCUAAGAUGAUUCUAAAAAAUAAUAACAAUCCUUCAUAACCUCAAAUCUAUCACCCUCUCUUAAACCUUUAUAGUGUGACUCAACAACUUGAUACUCUUAUAAUUAUUGUAAUCCUGAAUGUCAUCCUUGUUCUUAUACAAUGAAAUCACCAUACUCAACCUCCAAGCUUCAGGCAUCUUCACCAUCCUAAAAAUUAUGUGAAACAAUUGAGUUAGUCACUACUCAAUACUAAUCCCUCCUGUGCACUUCCAAAAAUCCAUCAAAAUAUCAUCUGGCCCAGUCGCUCUACUCUUACGCAUCCUAUGAAUAGCCCCUUAACCUUCUUAACCUUAACGCGAGUGCUACAAAUCUCCUAACACAAUGCUAGUAUCUCUUUUUUCAUUUAGAAGGUUAUGGAAGUAAUAUUGUUAUCUCCUCCAAUAAGAACCUCCUCUUCUAAAACUUUGUCAUCUGCAUCCUAAUACACUUCACUUGAUCAAGGUAUCGAGCCCUCCUUUCCCUAAUCUUGGCUAGCUUAUAUAACUUUUUAUCCCAUAUUUACUAUCUAACGUUGUGUAUAAAGUCUCAAACGUUGCAUCCUUAGCCACCGUGACCACCAACUUUUCUUCUCUCCUAGAAAUCUUAUACUCUUCCCCAUUCUUCUAUUUUUACACUUUAUCCUUACUCUCAGCCAACUUCGCACACGCCCUCUUCUUAGCCUCCACCUUAUCCUUUAUUUUUUCAUUCCAUCACCAGUUCCCUUGGUGCUUGCCCGAGCAGCCUCUCAAGACACCCAACACCAAUCUAAAUGUCUUCCUAAUUCAAGUGGCAGUCUUAUCCCACAUACUGUCAGCAUCCCUUCCACUUUUCUAAGUCUUUCUUUCUAUUAACUUAUCCACUAUCUCGAGCACACUGGAAAAAGUUAGACUAUCCUAUCUAAUCCUUGGUUGUUCAUCUACAUAUCUCCUCCUCCUCUCUUUUUUGAUCUCCAAGUCCAUCAUCAAAAACAUAUGUUAGGUCAAAAGACUCUCACUCGAUAAAACCUACAAUCUUUGCAAAUAUCCUUAUCACCUUUUCUAGGAAGCAAAAUGUCAAUCUGUGUCUUGACCAUCGAACUAUGAAAGGUAACCAAGUAAACCUCCUUCUUUGAAAAGUUUGAAUUAACUACCACUAAUCCAAAAGCCAUGCAAAAUCUAAAAGUGUCACUCCUCCUUCAUUCCUUAUACCAAAUCCAAAGCCUCCAUGCAUCUCAUCAUAACCCCUCGAAAAAAACCCUAUGUGCCCAUUAAAAUCCCCUCCUAUGAAAAACUUCUCAUUGCUGGGGAUGCCCCUCACCAUCUCAUCCAAAACCUCCCAAAAACUUUUCUUCUCUUCCUCAUCCAAGCCUACAUGUGGGGCAUACACACUAAUAAUAUACAAUGAAGUCCCUCUAAUAACUAAUUUAAUAGACAUUAUCCUAUCGUUGACCCUCUUAACCUACACUCUUGCUUCUUAAGUGUAAUGAUCCAAGACUACCCCUUAGUCGUCACACGGUGCUUAGGACCACAAGUGAUCCCAAAUUAACCCUUGUACUGGUAUAACUCAUGAGCAACUAAAAUAAAUACAUAAGUUCGAAAUGAAAUAAGCGGAAGAUAAAUCUUUAGCUCAACAUCUUCAAAACAAACUAUUCAAAUUAUUAUAGCUCUAAUUUAUACAAAACCAAACUGAAAUCCAAAACAUUAACUUUACUGACUGUCUAUGAAGUCUUUACUAGUACUGACUAUAGGUAAUCGAGACAUGACCCCCAGCUAUCCCGAAUCAAUACAACUGAAUAAAGAAACAAAUAAAAUACUACUCAAACUAUGAUUGACUCGAGCCUUUGAAUCAAAAAGACUCAUCACCUGCUGACUGGAAGCUAUAAGCUGUCUAAAUAUGAUGUACACGCUACAAAUCGUACCUAAAUUAUGAGACAAUAUAGAAGAUAGACAUAUAUAUGGAUCAGUACUUUUGGAAUGUACUGAGCAUGUGGGGGUGAAUGCAUAAGAAAAAUAAUAUCUCAAUAUUUAUAUAAACUUGUAAAAGAAUGCAUGCUAAGUGUAAAUGACUCAUAGUGGCUUGAAUAACUGAAAGCUAAAAAUCAUAAAUCUUGAAUGAUAAAACAUAUUGUAUAAAUCUCGUGAGCCAUAACACUUAGUUCUAAAAGUUAUAUCUUUACUCUUUUUAGUGGGAGUUUCUUUUAACUGACAUAAACCAUGUGAGCUGUCAUGGAGUCCAAAGUCUUACCCAUGUUGGGGAGAGUUGUUCUAUCUUUGCCAUCGAAAUAGAAUCAGAUCUUAAGUGAUCACUGACUUAGCCAACUAUGGGGGCUUAAACCUACGGUGGCUCGUAGUUCUGGGGCAUGAGACCUUAGAGUUAUACCCAACUCGGUGCUAAAUACUACUGCCAUACUUAUUGCUCAGAACUUUAGAAAAUCCACCUUAAAAUAGCAUAAGGGUUUAUAAUGAAAACCAGUUAUGCAUCAAUCUAUUUUAAACUAUAAUCAAAACUAAUCUGUGUGGCUUUCAUAUCUUAGCUGAGGAUCAAAAGAUCAAAUCUUACUUAAAAAUCUGAAUACAUGAUUAUCAAAGAAUGCUUAAAUAUCAUCUUUCUUAAAAUAUCAAGACUUAAACUUAGGUAUUACAACCCAUACUUGAAAAUCAUAUCAAAUCACAAUAAACUUCAUGCUCAACAAUAAUAAUCUUGAAAUGCUUUAACAAUUCAAGUCAAGAAAAUGAAAUCAAAAUCACAAUGUCCUGCUUAAAGCUGAAUUGGAAAUCUUUAAUCAAUGUCUCAAAUCAUACUCCUAGUGUUCAAAUCAUGAAAGAGAAUUCUUUAAAUCAAGAUAACUAUGCAUUUUCAUACUUCAAUCACUUUAUAAAUCCAUAAACUCAAAACAAGAUACUUUGGGUAUGAACCCUAGUGGCAAAUCAUGUAAAUUCAACUUUAAAAAUUAGUUUGGAGCACAAGGAUGAAAGAAGUAUCCUUGUUUAUAAUCUCACAUACCUUAAUAGGUUUGAUUUGAUGUAGAAAACUUGACUUGGAAACCUUGGGAUUGUUCUUGAAAGCUUUUCUUGGAAUUUUUGAACUUAAGAACUCAAAUUCCUGUUUAUCUUAAAGAAAUUGUAAUGGCGUUUUAAAUUUCUUAGAUGGAGGAACCUUAAUUCAUUGAUUAUCUUGAAGAAAAUUUAUUGAAGUUCUUGGUGUUCUUGAGGGAGCUAGGAUUUUCUUGGAGAGAAAAAGAUAAAUAAGAAUGUGGAUAAUGCUUUUGGGGGCUAAAAUCAGGGGUGGACCCACGUGGUUGCCAGGGGGUUUACCCGAACCCUCUCAGCAAAAAUAUCUGUUGUAUAUAUCAGGUAGAAAAUCUAUAUUUAUGUAUAUAUAUUAAAUUUGAACCACCUAAAAUAAGCAUGUUAAAUAGCUUAGUGGCAUUGGCUGCACUUCUUGGGCCUCUUGCUUAAGGCCCACAUCAAGGGUUCGAUCCUACUGAGGCGCAUAGACUAUCAUUUUUUAAUUAAUUCAUUGUUUUUUUGUUACAAUGGAAUUUUGAACCCACCAAAGAAAAUUUCUAGACCCGCCACUGGCUGAAAUUAAGUGUUAUGGGCAGAUAUGGGUGAGGGAAAGUGACCAAAGUGCCCCUAGAUCCUUUAGGAACUGAAAUAGCGUGUGAAACAGCUCCGUAUCGCAUUGGCCAUCGCCUCACAUCGAGGACCAUAGCGCCGCAUCCCAAUCGCAUCGACUUACUUCCUCACACGGAAAAUGUCAUAACUUUUUGCUCGGGUAUCAGAUUAAGGCGAAAUUGGUAUCAUUGAAAAGCUAAUUCAAUUAUCUAAAAUUUGGUGGGUCUUGAGCUGUAAAAUUCUAUGUAUAUAAAAUUUAUACACGUUCAAAUUAGACCUUUGUAGAAUUAAAUACAUUGGAUGAAUCAAAGAUUCUUAGCUCAAGUUCACUCUAAAUGAUUCCUAUGAAUACCUUUCACCUCAAAAUCACUUCGCACACAAGGAUAAUGAUAAUGAAAAUGAAACUUAUAUUAACAUGGAAAACAUUUGGACUAGAGCUUACACAUGUAGGAACGAUGGUUAAAAUUCUAGCACAAAAAUUUAGGGUGUUACAUUAUCUCCCCCUUGAAAUCAUUCAUCCUCGAAUUAUGGCUAGGAACUUGUUGAAGACUUAGAGGUAUGGAAUAAUGUAGAUAUGAUAUGUCCUCUAAGAAAGGAUCUAACUGAGCUGAAAUAUUUAAACUUCUAUCAUGAAACUAAUUUCUGAGCUGACUUGCCUUUACUUACUUUAAGGAGUUGAUUCAUGCUGAGAGUUUAGAAUUCGCUUGAAGUGUUCAUGAUACAAUCAUACAUAUAGAACUGGGAAGUGAUAACUUAUGCAAGCAUGAAUCAUGAAACAACAAGACUUAGAUCAUACAAGGGGUAUUACACUGUCUGAACUAAAAUACUUAGAAAACUGAGAUUAUGCACUGAACACUUAUAAACUAAGUCAUGACUAAAUAGCUGAAUCUAAAACAUGAUGCGUGAACUGAGCUGAAUUCCUAACUUGCAUGAGUACGGAUAUUUUUCCUCAUGGAAUGGCCUUGCUCGAGAAACUUUGGUUAGUAAAGCGAUGCUUGAUUGCAAAACUGGAUUGCAGGCUAUAUGGAUUGGAUCAUAGUGACUGCUCAUACUCAAAUAAAGUAUUUAUUUAACACACUUCUACAAAAUUCUAAUAAUAUUAGGGAGCAAAGAAUUUUGGGCAUGAUCUGAACAAGAUAUCUGACUAAGGAAUCACAACAUUGAUACAACUCUAUAGCUUGGAACAUAGGUAUAUAAAUCAUAAGCUAAGAUAGAAUUACUAGGCCUUAGGCAAUGAAACUCCUUACUUUAAAACUUAGCAACACUUCUCAAAUAUUCCCUCAACUAUACAAUUCCCUUUUAAAUACCAUAUUCAUUGAUUCAACUUUUCAUUCUCAUAUGGCCGUUCAUAAAUCCAUCUACUAAUAUCUAAACUGAACUAAGUCCUCUCACCAUGAUCAAGCCUUACUCAAAAUCACAAGGUAUAAUAUAUAACACUAUAACUGAACUGGAAUACCAACGAGAUAAGUGAUGCGCUGCUUUGCUUUAUUGAGACGAUAUGCGACGCGUCAUGUUGCUCCCUACCAAUGCGAUAUGCGAUGCGUCGCAGCCAUAUCAUGUUGCCUCACUAUUUUUACCUUCCAAACAGAUCUUAAACCUCGCCCAAAAAAUCCAAAACUUACCUGAGAUGUGCUAUAGAUAACCCCGAUCAUGAAUCAACUUAAAGAUAUACAUUUUAAGGUUGGGAAGGUCAAAAACUAAUGCACAAUGUGUUCAUCCCCUUAUACACCUAUACAAUAUUCAAGGCUAUUGUUAUAACCACAUAUGAAAGACUAAACAAACACCCAUAAUAGUAUAUUUCUCACAUCCUCCAAACCUUUAUCAUUAACAACUGCCACGCACUACCCCAAGAACAUACACAUAAUUUUGACUAACCAUAACAUGUAGUAAAGAAUUGUCCUCAAUCUUACUUCACACUUAUAGCCUUAGCUAAAACAAGCAUACAACGAUCUUUCGUCAACAAGAAACACUUACUCUAUCCCAUCUACACAAUUACUCAUCACCACUAUCAUUAUACAAGGAAAGGUCACUAAAAGGAUAAAACAUAAGGACCUAAAACAUGAAAGGAUAACUUUGACACUUAACUGAGGCCUGAGAAAUAGAAUAUCAAUAUCAUGGAUUCAUCAAGAGAUCUAAACUGAGGAAACACAUGACAUAAUCUAGAUUUCGUUGAGUAUAGCAUAAGUACCCAAAAUUGAAUAUACCGUAAAGCAUGAGUGCAUGACUCAUGAGUUGCAUGACCUGAGUUUGGAGUUCAUGAUUUCAUGGAACAUGAUUCGUACUGCUGAGUGAACUAGAACUCCUCAUACUAACAACUGGAGAAGCGUACAUGAUUUUCUAUGAUUUUCAUGAACAAAACUAUGAUCAUGGAGCUGACACGUAAGGCAUGAGUAGAUAUCGUGAUGACUGAAGUACUAAUACUAAAAUAAGAAUGAGUCGGGCAUCUUCCUCCCACACUAGCAGCACUACUAGAAUCUGAGAAUCUGACUUGGUUACUUAUCUUAUCAUCUCCCCCUUAACUUUAAGCCAUCAUUCUAAGUCUGUGGAACCCUUUUACUAAACUCUAAACUGGACUACAAUCACUGAACUCUAGAGUCUAUGAUAUAACAAUACAUGUAAAUAAUAAACUUAACCCAGAAGACUAUACCUGAAAGUGUAAAGCCCCCUGCUAAUACUUUUUUCUGAGAUACAACUCUAUCUUUCUAUAGCCCCAAUAGUCAUCAUAUAAUACUUGAGCACUUACUAACCUAGAAUCUUCAUGAGUAUCCCCAUAGCCGAAGAGCACACCAUCUAGUGCUUCAACUCUUAUUUCUAUUAGCUCAAUCUUCAAAGACUCAAACUUAGAUUCUAACACUUAACGUGGAUAUCUCCAAACCUUUAAUAACCAUACUACUUCCAUCAUAGCCUACCAAUAUCGCACCUCUAACUUAUAUUUCUAAACCAUGAGAAUCAAGAUCAUAUCAAAAGGCUUAAAAUUAUCAAUCAUAACUCCUUAACUUAGCUAUUAAGAACACUAUAUACUAUAUCACUAGCUUUCUUCCACUUAGAAACUCAAAGGUACUACUAACCAUACAUAACACAUAAUAACCUUAGAAAAUAAUGCAACCCCAUAUCACCUUGGGCACACCCCUAAAUCAUACUUAAUUACGAAUAACUGAACUUUAACUCUUGCAUACAUUGUUCAAGGCUACUAGAUCAGUUCCAUGUAACUAGCAUUACUAACCAAGAAAUCAUUAUUUCCACCUUGAUAAUCAUCCAGUAUUCAAACUUAACGUCUAAUGCUAAACCUGAUUUACAACACCAACCUCACAUACUAUUCUCAAUUGAAAGCUAUAAAAUGAAACACCAAGAAAUACUAGUCCACUAGAACCUCAUAAUAACAAUAAUUGAUCAUGUGAUCAUAUGUCCUAUAUUAUUAUAGUCCAUUAGCACAUACUAUUUUUAUACAUCUCUACUAUUUACCCAUCUAUACAUCUAAAUUACUUUCAUAGCUCUAUAAGUUUCAACUAAACUUGCAACCUCACGGGAAGCCAAUAUUCACAAUACCAAACCAUCGGAUACGUCAUUAAUAACCUAUAAUUUUCUACUUAAAGCAAAAAACCAUUCACUUUAACUAAUAAAUCCUUCUCUUCCUUCAACCAAGGAACCUGUACCACAUUCAUUACCCCUAAGAUGACACACAAAAAUGUAUCACCAUAACAAAAAAUCUAUAGUAUGCAUAAGUUUAUCUCUAUACUUUCUAUCAAUCUUCAUUCCCACUUUCUUGUCACUGCACUUCUAAACCCACACUUCCAACUAUAAGAAGGUUCGACAACUUAUAAAUCAUAACACUGAAGUUCAUACUAUCCCCUGAAUGCAAACUCUAUUUAACAAUCUAGGUUCAUACUAUCUCCUCUCAUGAGCAAACUGUAAAAGCACUAUCCAUAUUGAAGGAUUAACGAGGAAUCUGAAUACAUAUCUUACUUUGUCUUAAUUGAACAACCUAUAAGGAUGCAAACAUAACUUUCAACUUGAGGAACUUAUAACACACUAACAAGCUCCUCUCAAGACCUUGGUAUAACUUCUUAAAUUUAUGAUAGUAAAUUUUGAAAGCGUUAUCUUGGGAGAAAUUGGAAUCUAGUACCCAUGUUAUCUCGGAAAUUCAUAGAUGGAGACUUUUGGAGUAACAAACAAAUCGAUAGAAGUUUAUAAAAGAGCAACUUUACUACAGAUCUAGAGUAUAAAAGAAAGCAAACUCUUCUUAAAUGCCCUGUAGCCUCUUGAAGAAAGGUACAGAUGUUUUCGUAACAUUCCACAAGACUCUACUAGACAUGGAUUCAUAGACACCCUAGGAAACUUGAACUCUGUGCUCCGAUACCAAGUUUGUAACGACCCGAGACUACCCCCUAGUCAUCACAUGGUGCUUAGGAUUACAAGUGAUCCCAAGCUAACUCUUGUACUAGCAUAACUCAUGAGCAACUGAAAUAACUACAUACGUUUGAAAUGAAAUAAGUGGAAGAUAAAUCUUUAGCUGAAAAUCUUCAAAACAAACUAUUAAAAUUAUUACAACUCUAAUUUAUACAAAACCAAAAUUGAAAUACAAUAUAUUAACUCUACUGAGUAUCUAUGAAGCCUCUACUAGUACUGACUAUAGUUAGCUAGGACAUGACCCCCAGCUAUCCCAAAUCAAUAUGACUGAAUAAAGAAAAAAAUAAAAUACUACUCAAACUAUGACUGACUGGAGUCCUUGAAUCAAAAGGACUCAUCACCUGCUGACUGGAAGCUGCAAGCUGUCUGAAUAUAAUAUGUGUGCUACAAAUCGUACCUACAUUAUGAGAUAAUGUAGCAUAUAGACAUAUAUGUGGAUCAUUACUUUUGGAAUAUACUGAACAUGUGGGAGUGAGUGCAUAAGAAAAACAAUAUCUCAAUGUUUAUAUAAACUUGUAAAAAAAUGCAUGCUAAGUGUAAAUAACUCACAUUGGCUUGAAUAACUGAAAGCUGAAAAUCAUAUAUCAUGAAUGACAAAAAAUACUGUGUAAAUCUCAUGAGCCAUAACACUUAUAUAUAAAAGUUUUAUCUUUACUCUAUCUAGUGGGAGUUUUUUCUAACCGACAUAAAUUAUAUGAGAUGUCAUGGAUUCCAACGUCUUACCCACGUUGGGGAGAGUUGUUCUACCCUUGCUAUCGGAAUAGAAACUUAUCUUAAGUAAUCACUGACUUAUCCCACUAUGUGCGCUUAAACCUAUGGUGGCUCGUAGUUCUGGGGCAUGAGACCUUGGAAUUAUGCCCAACUCGGUGCUAUAUACUACUCCCAUACUUAUUGCUCAAAAAUUUAGGAAAUUUACCUUAAAAUAGCAUAAGAGUUUAUAAUGAAAACCAGUUAUGCAUCAAUCUUUUUUAAACUGUAAUCAAAACUAAUUUGUGUGGAUUCCAUAUCUUAGCUAAGGAUCAAAAGAUCAAAUCUUGCUUAAAAAUCUGAAUAUAUGCUUAUCAAAGAAUGCUCAAAUAUCAUCUUUCUUAAAAUAUCAAGACUUAAACUUACAUACAACCCAGACUUGGAAAUCAUGUCAAAUCACAAUAAACUUCAUGCUCAAUAAUAAUAAUCUUGAAACGCUUUAACAAUUCAAGUCAAGAUAAUGAAAUCAAAAUCACAAUGUCAUGCUUAAAGCUCAAUUGGAAAUCUUUAAUCAAUGUCUCAAAUCAUACUCAUUGUGCUCAAAUCAUGAAAGAGAAUUCUUUAAAUCAAGAUAACUAUGCACUUUUUAACUUCAAUCACUUUAUCAAUCUAUAAACUCAAACAAGAUACUUUGGGUAUGAUCCCUAGUUGCAAAUCAUGUAAAUUCAUGUAAAUUUAACUAUUAAAACUAGUUUUGAACACAAGGAUGAAAGGAGUAUCCUUGUUCAUAGCCCCACAUACCUUUAUAGGUUUGAUUUUAUGUAGAGAACUUGACUUGGAAACCUUGGGAUUGUUCUUGAAAACUUUUCUUGAACUUAAGAACUCAAAUUCUUGUUUAUCUUGAAGAUAUUGUAAUGGAGUUUUGAAUUCUUGGAUGGAUGAACCUUAAUUUAUUGAUUGUCUUGAAGAAAAUUUAUUGAAGUUAUUGGUGUUCUUGAGGGGGCUAGGAUUUUCUUGGAGAGAAAAAGGUGAAUAAAAAUGUGUAUAAUGCUUUUGGGGGCUGAAAUUAAGUGCUAUGGGCGGAUUUGGGUGAGGAGAAGUGACCAAAGUGCCCCUAUACCCUUAAAGAAUUGAAAUAGCAUGUGAAAUAGAUCCGUGUCACAUUGGACAUCGGGUAGCAUCGCUCAUCGCAUUGAGGACCAUCGCACCGCAUCCCAAUCAUGCCAGCUUACUGCCUCACACGGAAAAUUCUAUAACUUUUUGCUCGGGUAUCGGAUUAAGGCAAAAUUGGUAUCGUUGGAAAUUUAAUUCAAUUAUAUAUAAUUUGGUAGGUUUUGAACUACAAAAUUCUAUAUAUAUAAAAAUUUAUACAUGUUCAAUGUAGAUCCUUGUUGAAUUGAAUACCAAACUUUAGACGAAUCAAAGGUUUUUAGCUCAAGUUUACUCUAAGUGAUUUCUAUGAACAUCUUUAACCUCAAAAUCACUUCACAAACUAGGAUAAUGAUAAUGAAACUUAUAAUAACAUGGUAAAUAUUUGGAAUAGAGCUUACACACGUAGGAACGACAGUUAAAAUUCUAGCGCAAAAAUUUGAGGUACUACAUAAAGCUCCCUAAGCUCAUAAUCUACUAGGAAACCUACACCAUUCAUAUUCCUCAUGAUUCCUAAGUACCACAAUUUACAAUCGUCUACUACCCUCGCCUUAUUAGGCAUGGUUAAUCAAUAUCCCUCUCGUUCCUGAUCAUUUUUUUCUUUAGUCCUCUGGUGACUUUGAUUAUGGUAUGAUAGUAGUGUUUAAAGUAGUUGUGUAAUAAUUUUUGUUAGGAGAAAGUAGAUUUUUUAUUAUGAAAAUUAGCGGUGUAAUUUGUCCAUCCAAAGAAAUUUGUGAAUGACCUAUUGCAUAUGUUAUUGUUGGAUAGGUAAUACAUGGCAUAACUUCUUUAGUAGUGAUUAGAUUAAUAAUUCUAGGUAUGAAAGACCCUAAACUGCGUGUAUUAGUAGGCUUAGAUGACAUGGUUGAUUUACAAAGAGGCAUAUAGUAGAAAACCUUGUAAAAGUGGUGAACGUUACUAAUUUUAGGUGCGGAGAUCUGUAAAGUGGGUAAGAAAUGAUAGGUCUGAAUAUUGUAAUUAGAUACAUGGACCUUUGUGCUAUGGGGAUAGUACUCAUUGAUUAAGAUUUGAGGCUAUUUGAUUAUAGUGAUAAGAUAUAGUAGUAUCCUUUUAUGGAUGUAAAGUAUAGAGCCAUGUAGCUUAGGCUAGCACCUUUUAACUCCGUGUUAGGCCUUAACAUGAAAGCACUAUGCAGUUAGACUCAGGCUCUUGUAGUUAUGUAUUUCAUUGGAGAAUGUAAGUUGGAAAUGACGAAGUGUGGUAUUCGUAGUAAAAAUCAUAGUUAAGAAGUGUCACUAAAUUUAAGGACUAUUAGACGUAUCAUUUAAUGUGGAGAAUACUUCUAUUCUUAUGUCUAGCAAUAAUCUAAUUUCAUGUAUUGUAUCAGUAUCAAUUAGGUUGAUAAUUUUUGAAAAUUUUCUGUCUUACGUUGUUAUGAUCACGUUCAUAGAAAUUUAUGUCCUAGAUCGUACCUAUGUUAAAACUCAUACUUCUCAUUAUUCAUGCUUAAUCGAUUGUUUUAUGUUUUCAUGAAACCUCUCUUGGUGAAAGCGAGUUCAAAGAGAAUUCUUGAAGUGAUGUUUUAGCCCUUUUGCCAUGCUUAUAGAACUUUGAUAAGUUCCUAGCCAUCAUUCAAGGAUGAAUGAUUCCAAGGGGCGAUAGUGUAACACCCCACACUUUUGAACUAGAAUUCGAAUCGUUCUUUAUAUGUGCAUAGAUCCGAAUCAAAUAAUUUCUAUUUAGAUAUAAGUUUUUAAAUCAAUUAUCUAGUGUGUAUUUUGAUGUGAAUUAAGGUUAUACUACAACAAAUUUGAUUAUCAGGGACGAAUGAUUUUUUCACUUAUAAGUCAUUUUUCGUCACAAAAGAUUUAGCGUGACGAAAAAAAAUCUGUCAAUCAAUCAUCUCCAAAAGUGGGUCGCUACAAGUAUACAAAGACGAUUUAGUACUUCGUCGCUAAAAGAAUUGAAUUAGCUACAAAAAAAAAAUCGUCCCCAAAUGUGUAACAUUUAUGAAGAAUUUAUUUGUCAUAAAAAUAUAAUUUUUUUGUAGUUGAUGAUUGUUCUUGAAAACUUUUCUUGAACUUAAGAACUCAAAUUCUUGUUUAUCUUGAAGAUAUUGUAAUGGAGUUUUGAAUUCUUGGAUGGAUGAACCUUAAUUUAUUGAUUGUCUUGAAGAAAAUUUAUUGAAGUUAUUGGUGUUCUUGAGGGGGCUAGGAUUUUCUUGGAGAGAAAAAGGUGAAUAAAAAUGUGUAUAAUGCUUUUGGGGGCUGAAAUUAAGUGCUAUGGGCGGAUUUGGGUGAGGAGAAGUGACCAAAGUGCCCCUAUACCCUUAAAGAAUUGAAAUAGCAUGUGAAAUAGAUCCGUGUCACAUUGGACAUCGGGUAGCAUCGCUCAUCGCAUUGAGGACCAUCGCACCGCAUCCCAAUCAUGCCAGCUUACUGCCUCACACGGAAAAUUCUAUAACUUUUUGCUCGGGUAUCGGAUUAAGGCAAAAUUGGUAUCGUUGGAAAUUUAAUUCAAUUAUAUAUAAUUUGGUAGGUUUUGAACUACAAAAUUCUAUAUAUAUAAAAAUUUAUACAUGUUCAAUGUAGAUCCUUGUUGAAUUGAAUACCAAACUUUAGACGAAUCAAAGGUUUUUAGCUCAAGUUUACUCUAAGUGAUUUCUAUGAACAUCUUUAACCUCAAAAUCACUUCACAAACUAGGAUAAUGAUAAUGAAACUUAUAAUAACAUGGUAAAUAUUUGGAAUAGAGCUUACACACGUAGGAACGACAGUUAAAAUUCUAGCGCAAAAAUUUGAGGUACUACAUAAAGCUCCCUAAGCUCAUAAUCUACUAGGAAACCUACACCAUUCAUAUUCCUCAUGAUUCCUAAGUACCACAAUUUACAAUCGUCUACUACCCUCGCCUUAUUAGGCAUGGUUAAUCAAUAUCCCUCUCGUUCCUGAUCAUUUUUUUCUUUAGUCCUCUGGUGACUUUGAUUAUGGUAUGAUAGUAGUGUUUAAAGUAGUUGUGUAAUAAUUUUUGUUAGGAGAAAGUAGAUUUUUUAUUAUGAAAAUUAGCGGUGUAAUUUGUCCAUCCAAAGAAAUUUGUGAAUGACCUAUUGCAUAUGUUAUUGUUGGAUAGGUAAUACAUGGCAUAACUUCUUUAGUAGUGAUUAGAUUAAUAAUUCUAGGUAUGAAAGACCCUAAACUGCGUGUAUUAGUAGGCUUAGAUGACAUGGUUGAUUUACAAAGAGGCAUAUAGUAGAAAACCUUGUAAAAGUGGUGAACGUUACUAAUUUUAGGUGCGGAGAUCUGUAAAGUGGGUAAGAAAUGAUAGGUCUGAAUAUUGUAAUUAGAUACAUGGACCUUUGUGCUAUGGGGAUAGUACUCAUUGAUUAAGAUUUGAGGCUAUUUGAUUAUAGUGAUAAGAUAUAGUAGUAUCCUUUUAUGGAUGUAAAGUAUAGAGCCAUGUAGCUUAGGCUAGCACCUUUUAACUCCGUGUUAGGCCUUAACAUGAAAGCACUAUGCAGUUAGACUCAGGCUCUUGUAGUUAUGUAUUUCAUUGGAGAAUGUAAGUUGGAAAUGACGAAGUGUGGUAUUCGUAGUAAAAAUCAUAGUUAAGAAGUGUCACUAAAUUUAAGGACUAUUAGACGUAUCAUUUAAUGUGGAGAAUACUUCUAUUCUUAUGUCUAGCAAUAAUCUAAUUUCAUGUAUUGUAUCAGUAUCAAUUAGGUUGAUAAUUUUUGAAAAUUUUCUGUCUUACGUUGUUAUGAUCACGUUCAUAGAAAUUUAUGUCCUAGAUCGUACCUAUGUUAAAACUCAUACUUCUCAUUAUUCAUGCUUAAUCGAUUGUUUUAUGUUUUCAUGAAACCUCUCUUGGUGAAAGCGAGUUCAAAGAGAAUUCUUGAAGUGAUGUUUUAGCCCUUUUGCCAUGCUUAUAGAACUUUGAUAAGUUCCUAGCCAUCAUUCAAGGAUGAAUGAUUCCAAGGGGCGAUAGUGUAACACCCCACACUUUUGAACUAGAAUUCGAAUCGUUCUUUAUAUGUGCAUAGAUCCGAAUCAAAUAAUUUCUAUUUAGAUAUAAGUUUUUAAAUCAAUUAUCUAGUGUGUAUUUUGAUGUGAAUUAAGGUUAUACUACAACAAAUUUGAUUAUCAGGGACGAAUGAUUUUUUCACUUAUAAGUCAUUUUUCGUCACAAAAGAUUUAGCGUGACGAAAAAAAAUCUGUCAAUCAAUCAUCUCCAAAAGUGGGUCGCUACAAGUAUACAAAGACGAUUUAGUACUUCGUCGCUAAAAGAAUUGAAUUAGCUACAAAAAAAAAAUCGUCCCCAAAUGUGUAACAUUUAUGAAGAAUUUAUUUGUCAUAAAAAUAUAAUUUUUUUGUAGUUGAUGAUAUGCUUGUCACUAAAAAGUUAUUAAUACUAACAAAAUUUCAUCAUCUCUAAUUAUUUAGUUCAAUCAGUGAUGACACUAAUUGCCUCUAGAGUUAUAUAUAUUUCGUGGUGAAGAAAUGUAUUUUCAUUGCUAAUGACAACUUUUUGUAUAUAAUAAAUACUUUCGUUCUUAAAUGUAUGAAUUAGUGAUAAAUUUAUUAUUAUAAUAAAGGUUAAUAAUUUUGUAGUUAAAUCUACCAUUUUGUCCAUAAAAAUAUUUUUUUUUAACGACGAUAUAAAUUUUUCACUAAUUUAUAAUGACUACUGACAAUUACGAUUGUCAUGAAAUAUAAAAUUAAUUUGUAUCAGAUAAAAAGAAAGAUAUUGAGACAAAUACAUCUGUCACUAAAUAUAGUCAAACUUAUGACGAACUAGUUCAUUUUGUGACAAAAAUAUUUGUCUUGAAAAGUUUAAUUUAAUUUUUGUUAAAAGUUACCUUUAAUAAUAAAAUCUUUUGUCACUAAUUACAAGAAAACGGUUAAUUAUUUUAUAUUGGUAUUAUUUUUAAAUUAGAAUUGAAUAAAUUAAAAAUAAAUUUAUAAAAUAUGCCAAAUAAUGAUAAAAUUCACCCAGAAUCGUAAAAUUAAGAAAACUAAAAUUGUACUAAGGUAAUAUCUCCUUACAGGGCAAAUAAAAGUAAAACAAGUUCAAAAAUAAAGAAAAUCUAACUGAAAUAUAGUACUAAAUAUUACUCCUAUCCUAAACUAAGACAGAUAUGUAGAGAUUUCUUCCAAAGUACCAAUAAUGUGUUGAGGUUCCAAUUAGUCUUCAUUCAACUCUAAUUUUUAUACCUGUGGAAAAGAGAAGAAAAUUAAGAUUGAUGACAAUAUUUUUGGAGUUGACAGACAAAAUGGCUCUACAUGCUACCAUUACUUCAAUGCCACAACUAUAAUCCAUUAAACAUAUAAUUAUGGAAAAUGAGGCCGCGCAAAAUAUGUGGAGAAAAAUUGGAGCACCUUCGGCAUUAAACACAAUGUCAUGCACUAUACCAUCAAAAUGAGGGAUGAUAAAUUUUAAAAAAGGAACUGAAAGCAGCAACAAAAAGCAGUAAUGAUCAAGUGCAAGGCAAUGGAGACAACAACAAUGAGACACCAGCUCAACUGAACAAAAUCAUACCCAAACUAAAGAGUACAAAUCAGACCAAAGAAAAUGUGUAGGUGCAGGACAAACAACAACAACAACUUUAUCAACAAUAACAACAAAAGGUAUAUAGACCCGAGUCACCUCAGGCUAAAGAUUCUACUUCUCAGGCUCAUCAGCAAGAUCCUUAGAUGCUGCAGAAUCAAUAAAAUCCCUCAGGUAUUGUCCACUCCCACCUCUUACAUGUGUUGCUAGUGUUAAUAUUAGCUUAGAUGGUUAUGUGAAGGGAGUUAAAAAGGCCUAUGAUGUAGUCUUAUAGGGGGUGGACAGUGUGAAAGGAAGUGCAAAUUCAUAAUGCUUACACUGGUGAACUAAACUCUCAUGUUAACCCUUCUCUUGUAAUGUUACUACACCUAUUGUUUAGAAGGGGAACACUGGUACUAAUCAGGUACAGAAGGAAGGGGUUACACCUGACACUUUUACUAGUGAUGAAGUUAAUAAUUAUAUGGAAAACCAAAAAGCUGUGUAGAGUAAAAAGAGCUAAUCUAUACCCCUACCCCCUGCCCUUGGUAAUGGUGAUGCACCAUCUUUUGCUGAAGCUCUAGUUGGCUACCAGAAUCAGACAUAAGAAUGGAAAGGACACUGUUGAUACUCCUAAAAAUCCACAGAACAAAUGAGCAAGAAAAAGAGAAUCAAUAAAAAAACAGGAAAAAUUAAAGAGAAGAGAAGACACUCUCCCCCCAAUAUAAGGUAAUAGAAUCACAACCAUGUAACAGGAAUCACACCAACUGACAAUGGAAGACUCCAAAAAAGUACUUUUUCUUUCUUUCCAUCCUAUUUCUUCAUAUUGUCUACAACUGUAAGCUUUAAUUUACCUAGAGUAUCCUGAAGAAUUGACUGAAGUUGAAUAAUAUGGUGACAUGGAUGAAUUUGAAAUUAUUUCUCCAUCUAUUUUGUUACUAUUGUUGAUGUAAGAUACAAAGAUAAAGGUCCUUUGUGUAAACCCCGAUGCAAAUGGCUUCUUUCAUUGGCUUUACAGUUGUCCAUUUUGAAUUGAUCUUUUUACAUACUCUACUAGAGAUGAUGAACAUGUAGAUGAAGAGAGAAAAGAUGGUAAGCUAUGGCAAGAGCUCAGAUACAGAAUAUGCCUCAACUGGAUUGUUGUGACCAAAAUCAAACAACUGCUAAUCUCCCAAGCUAGAGUCUCCUUUGCAAGCAAAGACACUAGCCAACAUAUAAGGACUUUAUGCUUUGUUUCAGUUCAAUUCUUCCUACCAAGGUUAUUCUUCCUUGUUAAUUUUUGUAGUGAAUUGUUCUUAUGAAGUUCAGUGUGAUCUACACAGAAGAGGGAGGUGUACCAAUAACUAUCAAACUCAUAGAACUAAGCGUGUAAUUAGGAGACAUGGAAGGUGCUCAUCUAACUAGUACAGUUUGCUUAUUCUCAAGGAAAAGCUGCAAACAGAGCAAGAAUUAAGACUAGGAUCUCGAAUCAUGUCAAUUGUCAAAGGUGUAGAGUGCGCUAAAGGAAGAAAAAAAUGAGAAAUGAGAGUUGGUUAGAUUGACUAUAGAUAUUAAGAGACACUAGUUGUAGUUACAGAUAGUCAGAAGAAAUCAUAUUAAAAGAAAGGAAAAAUUAUUUUCUAGAGUUUUUCAUUGUCAGUUGGUGUGAUUUGAACCUGAUUUCAUGGUUCCAACUCAGUCCAUGACUACUAGACCAUAUUCUUAGACGCAUAACAUAAUUCUUCUUUUAUCCAAGUAAUGGAUAUUGAUCUAGAGAGCUAGCUAAAAGUAAUCCUUCCCAAAUUUACAGAACACACUGUCAUUGGAAUUAGUCAGAAAGGAGAACUCUCGAGACUCUCAGUUUAGAAACACAUCCUUUUUUAUAUUUGACCCAGUCACAAUAGUGCUGGUUUUCAUCAGGUCACUUCUGAAGUUUUGAAUAACUCUUAAACCUAGCGACCCAAGAAAUAUGAAAUUUUAAGAUGAAUUUAAUACAUAACUAUUGGUUUAGAAAAUGAAACCCUUACAAUUUAGGAUGAACAUGUUUAGGAGGAAUAAGACGAACUUGCAACAAGUGUUCAAAUAAUAGAUAGUUAUGCAUAGCGUCCGCAACCACUUUAGCAACCUGCAAAUGUCCAAAAACCUAAGAUUAAUAGAAAGAAAAUGAUCAAGUGAAUUCUCUAAAUAUGGAUGCAUAACACAACUAAUUACUCAGGAAAAGGAACAACCUCAGGGGACUCAAAUUAUAUGAAGACAAAAUGCUUAGAUUUUUCUGUCUGUCACGAGAAAAAGACACAAGAAAAUAGAAUAUAAGAAAAGAAUCAAAAGAUUACCACAUAGAGAGAAAAUAAGAAAAACAGAAGUGUAUUAUGGACUUCGAAAAUUGAAGAAUAUAUCCAACGCGAAGCCCUUUGCUCUAGAAGCCAGAUUUUUACACGCCUCAAGUUACAAGAAUUUCUGUGUAAUUUCGAACAAUUGGACCACAAUUUAAUACUUUGAAGAUGAACAUAUCUUUACGCGAAGCUUACAAAUCCAAACCAGACAAAAUGUCAAACUACACUGAAUAAAUUAAAAGAUGAAGAAUCAGUUCGAGUAUUCACCUUUUUAUUCCUUGCAAGUCUAAGCGUCUUAAUUGUACCAAAUUGCUUAAAGAAACCUAAAGACAACAGUAGCAGAAAAUGGCACAACAAAAGUUAUUUAACUUUACAAAAGAGAUAUAAAAUCUAAAAAGGCUUAGAACGGGGAUAAAGAAAACACAAUAUGAGAAAUGCAAACCUUUCAUUUCAUUCUCAUAAAAUCCAUGUGGGGUCCUUUUAAUAUACAACACUGUGGAUUUAAUUUGCCGUACUUCGGUAUCUGAAAGUUUUCUAGUCGGCCCACCUUCCAAUGGCUACAACGUAUAAGAAAAACAAAAGCCAAGAAAAGCAAGCCAUCACCAAAAAAACAAUCUUCUUUUUUCUCAUCUUAUGCAAAAGAACUGCCGAUUGGCUACAGUAAAGAUACCAACAUAAUUGUUGCGAGUGAGAACAAAGUCACAUUAUUUGUAGUUGAAAAGAUUGAGAAGCUAAUUGCAAGGUGUAGGAUCUCUUAAUGGUGUGAGGUCUUAUUACAAAACUAUUGUGGGCUUGGUUUAAAGUAACAAUAUCAUACCUUGUUAAGACCUUUAGGCUGAUUUAUCCCAACAACUGCUAUCAGAGUCUUAAGUUUGAGAUGAGUAUGACAAAGGAAUAUGAUGGUGUGGUCUCGAUUUACCUCCUCUCAGAAAAGCAUACAUAAAAAAGAAGCAACUACACCUAUAACGAUGUAAAAGAAUUUGCAUAUUUCGUAAGGAUCUUAUAUGCAUAUAGGUUACUUCUAGCAGAAUUGACCUAUAAGUAAUUAAGAAUGGUGGAUAGUUUCAUCAAAUGUGUGGGAAUUUAUUAGCCAACGUAACAUUUAAGAAUUUUUUUCCUUUAAAUUCCCUUUACAGUCCUGCAUAGCAAAGAUCUAAAAACUCUUGAACAUGAAAUUUCCUCUCUCCAAGAAUUCUAACUAGGAAAGCUACUCCUACUUUCAAAUAAUUUUAUUAUCGUGGGACAUUUGACACGUUUGUCCCACUCCCUUGAAAUUUUACUAAUAUUUUAAGCACAUUGCUAAACAGCUCCUGAAUAAAAACCUACAUACUGGCUUUCUCAAAAUUUUAUUUUUGUCAGACUUUGUUUCUUAAAUGUCAUGCAAAUUGAAUAUGGGGGAGAACCAAUUUCAAUCCAGCAGCUUCAUAUACGUAGUAUUUUCCACAUAGCACUCUAGUGUGAAUCCAUACCGAACUUUGAAUUUAUCAGGGUAAGUAACUGUUUCUGAAAUUCAAAAAACACUCCAUGCAGAUACAUCUUAAAAAUUACUAUGCUAUAACAUGCAGGCAUUAAGAACAGUUUCAGCUUCCUCCUUUAGCAGAGAGACAGAGUCGGGAAGAGAGAGAAGUUUUUUACAACCAAAUGACUAGUGUGUUUUCAUAUGUUCAUCACUAACAUGGUUUCACAUGUGCAUUUCUAUCAAGCAAGGAAUGAAAAAUUAGACGACCAAACAUCCAUAAAGAGAAACAAAAAGAAAGAGACAAAAACUGCAGGUACCUUUCUACCAAUACAAAAAAGCUCAACAAGAUCAUAGAAUUGGCCGUAAAUAUCACCACAUGUAGUCACAAGGCUUUUCACAGGCUGCAACAGAAAAUUUAAGACAAUUCAAUCCGAUGGACAAAUACUUAUGCAUAUCUAAAUCUUUCUUAAUAAGACACACGUGUUAAACAUACAAGUCAGAGAGGUCUCUUUAGUUGAUCAGGUAAUAAUUUACAUCUUUUAAGUUCUAUCUCAGAUACUAUGCAUCAACAUGAUCUUGUAUCAGAUAUUUUCAUAUAAACUAGAUCAACUACUGUGUUAUUCAUAUUAAGGUAAACUGAAGCCUCGAUUACAUAUUUGUGGACUAAAGCUCCAACAAUCUCGAGGAGAUAACAAGAGUUCAUAGAAUACUAGGAUGCCUGUGUUUAUAAAGAAAUUAUCUAACCCGGACCACCCAUCUACACUCUUGCUAUAAUCUAUGAUGCUCUUUCAAAAGGCCGCUAGGUGCGUGUUAAAUCUUUCAAAAGUAGAGCAUUUUUUUAGGAAUCCGGCAAGGUUGUGGCAACAUUAUAGGAGAAUCCAAAAAACUAUAGUCUAUACUAAUGUCAAUGAAAUAAACACAUUCUUUAAAUAAAGAAAACACAAAUAUCUAAGAGAAUAGGUCAUAAAAUUGCUCCACUAAUAUCCGUGCAGAGACAAAUCAAGACAAUAUUUCUUACAGAUUAAAACUUCAACACAAAGUGAUUAACAAGCAUAAUUCAAGUCUUAAGCCAAAAACAAAAAGAAGAAUUUUAAGUCCAAACCAACGCUUACCUCCUUCCUCCCUUGCCAGGAAGAUGAAAGACAACAGAAAAUGAAAAGAGAUAAAACAGUCAGUAAAACUAUUGUACCUGUACGUUGCUUUCAUCCAUUAAGAUCUCCUUUGUUUUCUCAUAUGUUGGUGGUUUUACUGAAGUUCUUUUGGAGCCAAAAACCUAAAAAAAAAAAAAGUAAGCGCCAGAAAAGUUUUCUUUCUUCAUUUUUCCUCUUUUGGUGAUUCUCUUAGGUGUAAUAUUUACACCAAGUAAAUAUUACAAAUAUAUUUUUUGUAAAGAAAUUAAUAUUUAUUAAUAAUAUUUAAUUUUUUAUUAAGAUCGUAUAUAAGAGAAAAUUUAAUAUAUUUCCUCCAUAUCAAAAUAAUUGAAUUUCAAAAUAAAUAAAUUUUUCGAAGCCCAAGAAAAUUGUUGAAACUUUUUUUUCAUAUUUACCCUUUCAUUUAAUGAAGUUCUUAAUCACUUCAUAUUUUCUAAGAGAAUAAAAUCUGACACAAUUAAUGAAUUUAACUUUUAUUUUUAAUUAGUUUAAAUUUUAUUUUAGGUAGUUUAAUUUUUAUUUUAAGAUCAAAUUUUAUUUAGAUGGUUCGAUUUUUAAUUAUUUAUUUUACGUAAUACUGGUUGAUUUGAAUUUGGUAAUGAGGACCUCUAAUAAGAGGUCACGUGGUAAAAAUAAUUUUGUAAAAAUUACCGUUAUAAAAUAAUGACACUAAUUAACCUUUCUAUGACGGCAGUGACAUAAAUGAACCAAACUUUCAAUAUUAGUGGUAUGGAUGAUCCAAAAUUAUUCACAACUCAACCUAUCUCAUAUCUUAAAUGUUUAAUUUCGAUCCACCAUUUAAAACCAUCAUACCAACAAAUUUAAUUAUAAUUCUCUUCUUGAUAUUAGUUUUCUCCUUAGUUAACUAGACAUUCGGACUAUAUUAUUUUUUAAACUUGACUUUGUGCUUUUUUUUCAUAGUAUUUUCUAUGUAAUUUAUUUUUAAACCUCUUUUAUGAAAAUUAAAAAAUAAUUAAGGGGGGGGGGGCUGGGGUUGGGUGGGUCGGGAUGGGGAGGGUGAGCGGGGUAAGAAAAAAUUAAAUAUCUUUUUUUUUAGUGGGGAGGAGGUAACAAAAAAUUCACUUUUUUAAAAAAAUAAAUUAAAAAAUAUUGGGAGGCGGGUGGGGUAAUUUUUUUUAAAAAUAAAUUUUAAAAAAUAUUUAACUUUUUCUUGGUGGGUAGGGGUCGGGGAUUGCGUAAGACAGAAAUAUUUUUUUCUAUAAAAAAAUUAUUCACUACAACAAUUUUUUCAAGACGAAUUUUUUUUUUUGAAGCAACUAAAAAAAAAAUUAAAAAUAUUAAAAGUGAGACUAUAAUUACUAGGUUUAAACAUCUUUAUUGGUAAAAGUUGGGCAUCAUUGUGAAACCAUUUGGGUUGAUGAUUUAUGAUGAGUUUACUUGGGCUGAUUCAAAUCAGUCCAUCUUCAAAAUCACUCAAGCCCAACCCAUUAAAACAUGGGCGAAUUGGACAAUCAAAUGAAUUUGGGCUAAUUUUUUCACCUCUAUACACAAUCUUAUAUAUUUAAGACCACAUAUUCUUAAUUUUCUUUUCUUGAAUUCUCUACACAACUAAAAAACUUUAUAUAAAAAUAAAAUCGAGAGAGUAUAUUAUACAAUAAAAAUAUUGUACAUAAUUUCUUUUUCUUAAAUUCUAGGACAGAAUAGAUUCAUAUGGAAUAAAAAUCAUUGAAUACAUAUUAUACAACAAAAUUACUAUACAUAAGAACAUAAAAUAACAUAUUUGUACUAGUGUUAAAAAAAACAAUGCUCGAGAAAAUUGUACAAACUUACAUGAUGAGUAGGAGCGUAAGAAAUAUAGUUUAUCUACAUAUAAUAUUAAAAACUGAAAUAGGAAAAAAAAUCAAAUUAGAAAAUUAAAAUAUUCAUUGCAAUAAAAAUUUCACUCAAUAAAUAUUUCAUCCUUAAAAAAACAUUACAUUCUCCAUUAAAAAGUAAAUUUGAGGAAAGAAAUUUUUUAAAUUUUAUCAUUUAAAUAGAAGAAAAUAAUUUUUUUUAGAUCUCUCAUAUAUCAAUGAAAAUUUCUUAUAUAUAAAAAUAAAAAUCUCUUAUUAAAUAAUUUUUAAAAAACUAAAAAAAAUCUAAAACUUAGAAAACUAUUCUCUAAUAAAAUUUAAACUAUUUAACCAAAAAUUUCAAACCACUUUUAUAAAAGAAGUGCAUUACAUAACUACAUAUUCCUCAUUAAAUAAAGAACAUGUAAAGUAUUUCCCUACUAUUACCAAAAUAGAUUCAAAAUAUUAUGCAUGAAUUAUAUCAAAUAUGUGAUCCCUAAUUUAACUCGCGUGAGCACAUCCAAUCAAAGAUUACAUACAAGAAUUAAGAUUAGAUUUUCAAAUAUCAUUUUUUAAUUUUGUUGAAGGCCUACAAAACCUUUUAAAUUAUUCAACAGCCUUUCUGCUUCAUGCUUCCGUUCAUUCAUCAAUCAUUAAAUUAUAAAAACUCAACAUUGACUUUCACUAAAGCAAAUAAAGAGAAACUAAAGUAAGAAGAGAAAAUUGAAGGUAAGGUGUCUUUUAAGCAUUGAAUGAAGGAUUGAUGACAUUGACCAACAGAUAGGGUCAAACAUUAUUAGGAAACUUGAUCAAGUUAAUUAUGGACUUGAUUAAUCUUUUCAAAAAUACAAAUCAACCCAACUCAAAACCUCUUCAAUCCAAAUUAACCACUCUCUCCUCUCUCUCGACAGUUUCUCUCAACUCUCUCCUAACCAACAGUUCUGCAAAAUUUCUCCCUUCAACCCCCGACGUCUUCUACCUCCGACUACAAAUAGUUAGACUUCAAGUUCCCCUCUUCAAUUCAAUCAACCUGUCUCUCAUUCCUCUCUCAAUAGCUUCUCUCAACUCUCUCCCAACCAACUAUUCUGCAAAUUUUUUAUUUCAAUCCUCGACAACUUCUACAUCCGACUACAAAUAGUUGGGAUUCCAGUUCCUUUUUGAUUUCAAUCGACGUGGCAGCCUUGCUCUCUAUCCACAACAGCUUAGAAUUCUUCAUCGGUCCUUUUCUUUUUUCACAGGUAAAAAUUUAUGGCCUUUUUAGUUUUGAAGAAAAAGAGGACUUGAGCCAACUUCUCUUAUAGUAUUGGUUAACAAUUUCAAUAUUUGUUACACUAAUCUGAAAUGCAGUCUGAAUAAAAUCAUAAUUUUUGGUAUUUUUUCUCUUCUUUUCUCGAAGUGAAUUAUGAUAUUUUGUUAUUUGUUGUAAUUUUUUGAAGUUUGAUUUUUAUUGUUUGUGUUUAUAAAAACAAAAGGAUAAUUUGAUUUGAUUUGUUCUAUUCUUGUUCUUGGUAAAAAUGGUGAAAUUGCUGUUUUUUGUUUAACAAAAUUGUGCUACUGUUUCCUUCGACAGAUUACCCAUCUGGUGCAACAUAUUAACCAUCUGAUACAACAGAUUUAUCAUAUGAUGCAACAAAUCAACCAUCUGAUUCACCAGAGGAACCAUCAGAUUAUAAUUUUGAUGCAACAGAUUAAUAAUCUGAUGCAACAGAUUAAAUAUCUGAUGAACAACUUUACCAUAUGUUGUAAUAGAUUAAGCAUCGGAUAAAAAAUCUAAUGAAACUAAUUAACCAUCUGGUGCAAUGGAAGAACCAUCAGAUUAAUGAUCUGAUGCAAUAGAUGAACCUCCUGUUGGAUAAAAUCCUACCAACUCUUCCUACAGGAAAAGUCCAAGACUUGAUUUUUUCAACUAAUCAUUCAUCUGUCGCGAUAGACGACCCUAUGUUGGAAGAAAUCUAAAUAAUAUUGACCAUUGAUAACUGUUCCAACAGAUCACUCAUGUGUGGCAACAGAUGUGUGACCUGUUGCACAGACCAUUCAUCUUUCUUAAUAGAUGAGUGAUAUAUUUUGUAUUAUCGCAAUAGAUUACUCAUCAAUUUUUACAGAUUAUCUAACUGUUCCAAUAGAUCACUCAUAUGUUGCAACAGAUGAUGUCAUAACAGUUGUGUGAUCUGUUGAACAUACCAUUCAUCUGUCUUAAAAGAUAAGUGAUAUGUUUUGUAUUAUUGCAAUAGAUUACUAAUCUGCUGCAAUAGUUUGGUUAUAUGUUGCAACAAAUAUACUACCUGGUGCAACAGAUCGGUGAUCUGUUGCAACUGUUAUUUUAUUGUCUUGCUUGUUUGAUUUACUGUUAUCCUUUUUUAAUGAUACAUUAAUCAACAAUAAUAUAUUAUUUUAUGUUUUUAUUAAUUUAAAUAAUAUAGUUCUCAAAAGAACAGAAACCGAAUCAAGUCCAAGUAAAGGAACAAGUAAAGCGGCUAGGCUACAUCCACCACUCUAUGAGCUUACUUUACAAGCGUUAUCUCAACUGGGAGCAGAAUAUGAUGAACAUGGGGAGGAGAAAUAUUUCAAAAGAGAUGAUGCAGAUGCUAACAACCCUUUCACCGAAGAGCUGGUCAAAAACCUUCAGCAUUGAUUAUUUUCCUGUGAGAUUGCAGUGCGAUGGUGCCGCAGAUUUAACGGGUGAUUUCGUGGUUAAGUUAGUCAUGGGAAAAUCUUUUGAUGCCUUCAGAAAAAUACUUUGAGAACAAAAAUUGGAUGCUUAUUUUAGGGACAGCUGCUUUGGAAAAUAUCUUGAUUUGUCGGAGGACAACAAUACUCGUUUCCAAAUAAAAAUGGUAUAUGAACUUCUCAAGCGUAGAUUUAUGGAUGAAAAUAAAGAUAAGAUGGAUGAGGUCUGGAUAAAUUACUGUGGCAUGCCUGUUUGUUUUGGUUGGAAGGAGUUUGCCAUAGUUACUAGACUAAAAUUUUAUCCUCCUUCUCAAGUUAUACCUAUUCUAACCCUAAAAAAGCACCCCACACACCCAAAAAAGGCAAAGGCAAGUUGAGUGAUCAUGAUGACCUGGUGUCCAUUAUUGGUCUAAGCUUUAAAAAUAAAAAUUUGAUAGAAGCGUUGAAAGGUAAAGGACUUUCAAAGAAGCACAAGCAGUCAUUGUGCUUGGUUUGGUUUAUACAUAAUAUUCUUUGGGCGAGAGACGUUAACAACAACAUAAGCCUCUGUUUAAUAAAGCUCUCCGAGGAUUUUAAGGCGUUUAAUAUCUAUCCAUGGGGGUAUGAAAGCUUUAAAAUGACUGUCAAAUAUUUGUUUACUUCGUUAGCGCCAAGGACAGUUAACUUAUAUGGCUUCCCAUGGACUUUCAUGGUAAAAGUUUCUUUAUUCUAUUAUGAUAUCAUUCAUUUUUUUCGCUCAAUAAUGGUUUUGAUUUAUUGGUGUUAUUUUAUAGGCUUGGGCGUUUGAAGCCAUUCCUUAUUUGAGACAACAAGUGAACUACCAGAAAGGAGUUUCCUGUCCAAGAAUCUUGAGAUGGUUGUCGACCAAAACUCAUAAAAAUAUGGUUUUGAUUUAUUGGUGUUAUUUUAUAGGCUUGGGCGUUUGAAGCCAUUCCUUAUUUGAGACAACAAGUGAACUACCAGAAAGGAGUUUCCUGUCCAAGAAUCUUGAGGUGUUUGUCGGCCAAAACUGAUAAAAAUACAAAAUUUAUUGAACUCUUCAACCCUCCAAAGGAUGCAGUAAGUAUAAUUAUAAUUAAUUUUUUUUUAAUUAAUAUUUUUUUUUGAAUGAUCUAAUCAUCAUUCUAAUAUAUGUAAUGAUUUAUGUUAGACUGUGCAUCCAUCGCUAGUUCCGACCAAUCAAGAGUUGAAGAUGCUAUUUUUUCUUACUUUACGAUUUGUGCAAACUUUAUCAGACCCUAAGGUCAUCGACAGAAUAAAAAUAGAAUUGUUUAAAGCAAUAACCAUUACAAGAAAAUCAAUUUUGGAUAGUGGGCUUAUUGUUGUUGAUAGAGCUGUUGGUGGUGGUAGUGGUGCUGCUGUUGGUGCUAAUGAUGCUCCUCUUACAGUAUUUAAAGUAAAUCGUUAUGAGUAUGAUCAUACUGGUUAUACAGAUUUUGCCUUUCCCAGCAAAUGUUCUGCAUGCAAAUGUCAAGACUGCAGGGCGAAACAUGAUGUAGUGAUUAAUGCUAUUAAUACAUUAACUACUUCUGUAAAGGAAUUGACAUCUAAGAGGGGUCUCAUUCCAUCAAAGAUGAUUUUAUUUCCAUCCGCUCCAUUAGAGAUUAGGGCUAAGAGGAGAAGGAGAGUGAUUUCCAGGGCAUUAUCAGGAAUCCAAAAAAGUGAAAUUGCAACUCUUCUGUCUGUGUGUUGCACUGAGCAAUGUAAAAUGUCCAAAGGAGAGCAGCACGAGCUGAAGAAGGUGAAUAUAUUAUAUGUCUUCCAACUAACAAAAUAAAUAGACAUAUAUCUGUUUCAAUAGAUGACACAUCUACUGAAAAUUAUCAAACAGAUAUAUACAUCUGUUGCAACAGUUGACUAACCUGUUGCACCAGAUACUUUAUCUGGUGCAGCAUAUGUCUCGUCUAUUUUAUCAAAUCAAACAGCUCUUCAUACAGCUUUUAUUUGUACCAACUGACGACCUAUCUUCUGUAACAGAUGAUUCAUAGGUUACAACGGAUGGUUCAUCUAUUGGAAAUUAUCAUACAGGGUCUUCCUCAUGUAGAAAUUUAUCCCAACAGUUGAUUCAUUAUUGCAACAAAAAUAUAAUAUGUUUGGGACAAUUUAAAAUAAGAGGAAGACCUGUUUGAUUUGCGAGAAGAAAUGAGUUAUUCUUUUCCAUUUUGUUGUAUCUCCAUGAUUAGCAUUGACCAAUUCUAGCUUUCCAGGUAGAUGUAGAAGAAGCUACUGCUGAACAGCAUUGACAAUAUGCUACUCUUUUUAUGGAAAUACGGAGAACAAAAAACGUAGAAGCCAUACGCAAGUAACAAUAAAGAUCCACGACAAGCAAAACUGAAUUCUAUAGCACCAGAUGAAGAACAACUUUUCCAUACUAAGUAGAUCUUUAUAGCUUGAGCCUGUCAAAGCAAUCCUUGGCAAUAUACUUAAAUUGUUGUUGAUGUAUUUGUUGAGAUCUGUACCCAUAACAAUUUAUUUACAUUUCAUUUAUUCGUUGACUUAUUUCAGCUAAUUUAUGAAGGAUUCGAUUUAUUUUAUUUUGUCUACGAAUUUUAUUUAUUCCUUAGAUUUGAACUUAUUAAUUGAAAAAGGAAUACUAGAUUCAAAUAUUGUAACAGAUAAUGUAUCUGUUGCAACAGACCACACAUCUAUUGAAAAAAUCAAACGGAUUUAAACAGAUGUUGCAACAAGUAGGUAAUUUGUUGAAAUUUAUCAAACAAGUCUUCUCACUAUUACAACAGAUGAACUUUAGAUAAAAACAUCAAGAUAAUGCAACAGAUGACACAUCUAUUGGAAAAAAAGAUCAGAUUUAGACAUAUAUUGCAACAGAUGAACUUUAUCUGUUGCAACAGAUGACACAUCUAUUGAAAUAAUCAAACAGAUUUAUACAUAUGUUGCAACAGGUAGGUUAUCUGUUGGAAUUUAUCAAAUAGGUCUUCCAACUGUUGCAACAGAUGGACUUUAGAUAAAAAUAUUAAAAUAAUACAACAGAUGACCAACCUAUUGUAACAGAUAAACUAUAUGUCAGAACAGGUAGGAUAACUGUUACAACAGACGGAGAAUCUAUUGCAUUAUAAAAAUUCAACUUUCGUUGGGACAUAAAAAAUUGCCACUACAUAUAAAAAGGUUAAAGUGAAUUGAAUUGAAGUAAAAAAGGCACAACCCAUCGACAAUAUACAAUUCAAACACCUAAAAUAAAAUAGACAUCAAGUAGACAUGUUCAUUUUAAACAUGUAAAAUAAAAUAAGCAUCAAAUGUGUCAGUGUCAGUCUGACACAUUUCGCUGACUUGCCAUCACUUAGCCCCCAACGGUUAUUUUUUCCCCCAAUUGUCUUAUAUAUUUAUCUUCCUCCUAAAAUUUAACCCUAAAUUCCCAAAUCUUCUUCUUCAUUGUCAUCUUCUUUUAUCUAUCCAAAUUCUUCAAAUUAUGACUUUCAUUUUUUUCAACUGAACUGACCUUGACAAUGUCGAGCACAUCUUCCACUGCUUUUUGUGAUAAAGAUUUUCGAUAUUGUAAGUGCGGUCAUGAAGAUCUGUUAAAGACUUCUUGGACUCAACAAAAUUUGGGUCAUAGGUUUUUUACUUGUAAGAUUCAAAGGUAAUAUUUUUUAUUUAAUUUGUUGAUUAAUUAUUGACUUGUAAUUAUUUUGUAAUUGUGUUCUCUUUUUUUAUAGAAAUUGGGUGGAUGCAAUUAGUUUGAUUGGUAUGAAGAAUGACACCCUUCACAAGCAAAUCGUGUAAUUUGGGAUUUGUUGAACAAGUUCAAGGCUUCUGAAGAGAAACAAAAUCGAGCAAGAAGAUACUACAUAGUUGCUAUUAUUGCUACUGGUUUGGUGUUAUUGGGCAUAUGGAUAUUGAAGUCAAAUUACUAAAAUUUUCAUGGUGGUGUGUGUAUUUGCUACUGGUUUGUUGUCGACGAGCACAUGGAUAUUCAAGCGUAACUGUAAGAAAAUAUCAAAAAUAUUUAGGCAUAUGUUAAAAAAUUUAGGUCAUCUGUUGGAAAUUAUCAAACUGGUCUUUCCACUGUUGCAACAGAUUAGACUUAGAUUAUUAGAUUAUUCAUAGAAAUAACAUCGGCGUAAUGCAACAGAUGACCAACCUAUUGCAACAAAUAAUCUAUCUGCCAGAACGGAUUAAAGAUAUUUUACAAUAGAUUAACAAUUUAAUCUAUUGCAUUAAAAAAAAUCAACUUUCAUCAGUAAAAAUUAUUGCCACUACAUGUACAUGUAAUAAAGUGAAGGGUGACUUAAAAUUAAAAAUUUUUAUUUCACAGGCUCGUCUAUAUACACAGGCUUCAAGCGCCAGUUAGUACCCCAUAAGCCCAAACCUCUUGCAGGUUUGCCACAACAUUGUUGCACAGAAAAGUCGUUAGUUUGGCCAUUUCUGUGCCGAUCAGCAAACAUUCGAUGUGUGCAAUAGCAUGCGAGUCGCUCUCUUUAGCGGCAUCAUCUUUUGGAAGGUUCAUUCCCCUAUUUUGACCAUCAAAAUCCCAUGAUUUCUUCAUCAACACUUUGGAAAAUGAUUCAUCAGUUUACUCUUCCUCAACAAGAUGGGCAACAGCACCAUCAGUGGCUCCACGAGAAGAAAAAAAUUGAAAUCGUCGAUGAGAGGUACGUUAGAGUCAUAAACAUUGAUCUUUACCUCCUCGAGUAGUAUCUCAAUAGCUCGAUAAUGCAUGUCGUUCAUGCUAAUGACUGCAAGAAUCCUUUUUGCCUCGGUCCAGCUCUUACCGUAUGGAUUUAGCCUGUCCCCUCUAACAUAUCUUAACAUUUCUUCUUCAUCCAAGACCAAUGUAGGAACUAGGAAAUCAAAUCCCGCGCCAAGGGAUGAUGCCUCUCCAUUGAGUUAAUCGUACCUAUCCUUUAGCUUCUUGAAAAAGUUGAGGUCCAUUAUUCUAUCGGCAGGGUCAUAAGCUUCCCGAUAUGUUAAUUGCCUUUUUCUCAUGAGGCAGAGAAUUAUGUUAACAUGUUGUGACAUAAGAAGUUAAAUUUUAAAUAGGUUAGAAAUUGUAAAGAUGCAACGAAUGGUCCAUCUGUUGCAUAGGGUUCUUUGAAUCAAUAAUCCAACACAACUUAUGCAACAGAUGGAUAAUAAGUUGUAACAUAACCACAACCAGUUGCACCAGUAUACCCAGCUGUUGUAACAUAUGUGAAAUAUGUUGCUUAUCUUCUUCUUUAUGGGGUAUAUUAGAAGGGCUAGGUUAAAAAAAGUAAACUUUCCUUGUCCUCGUGCGGCAUACGUAUAUCAGUCAUAGUCUGGAAGUCUUGGGGGAAAAAGGGAGGCCUGGGGUAAUCUGGUGCCCCUGACUUUGCAUUCUUGGCCUGUCACAGAUCCCUCUUCUCUUCGGCGCCAAGUUCCGCAUAUAAGUCCACUUUAUUGACUGGGCCCUGAACUUCUACAACUUUUGGAGAGGGAGGAAUUAUAAUUUCUUUUGAUUUCCGAGUGGAGAGUACGUCUUUAAUUGCUCUUUUCUUUCUCCUAACCAAUGUUGUAGGAGUGUGUGGCUUCCUCACCUUCUUGGAUGUUAUGACACACCUCUUGGAUUUGAAUUCCUCGAUAGCUUUAGAUAUAGCCUCUACUUUUUCAAAGAUUUUAUCCUGUCUGUCCUUACACUCAUCGCAUUCGCAAUGAGAACACGAGGGUAAAGAGGGGUGAGAGGGACGUGUGUAAGGGCAAAAAGGGGUGUUUUCAAACAUAUUUAUUCUUUCUUAAGCAUCAAUAUGUUCAUCAUUAUGAGUGGUAGCAGCAUCAGCAUGACUGACACCAACACCAACAACUCCACCAGAAGAAGUACCCGGAUCUGCCUUAGUAAAAGGUUGGUCAUGAAAAGCCUCAACAUUAGGCUGAACUUGCCUAACUACUCUUCUUAUGGCUGUUGCUCCAUCCCAUUCCUUCUUUAUUAACUUCAUCGCUGGGUCUGUAAUAGUAUCAACAUGACCUAGAGUAAUAUAAGAAGUCAUCACCGACUCCUCCUCAGUAGGCACGAUCCAUGGAUGCACAACCUAUAAAAGAGAAAAAAAUGAAAGAUGCAUUUAAAUCAUAUAAUAUAAUAAUUUUCACAGUUGGGCUAUAUUUUAAAAAAAAAACCAUCUAUUGCAUAGUUUCAGUAUAUGGUUAAAAUCCGUUUGAGUCUGGUUCAGAGAAACAGAGCAACACAUGGAUAAUCUGAUGCAAAAUAUCAAUCAUCUAUUGCAACAGCUGCACAAGAUAGGUAAUCUAUUAUAAAACAGAUGAUCUGUAUGUCACAAUAGAUGAACGAUAUGUUAUUAGAUCAAACAUCUGUUGCAUAAUUUACAGUAGAUAGUUAAUCUUUUAGGAGUUGGGUUUAGAGAACCAAAGCAACAGAUGGGUAAUCUGAUGCAAGAUAUACCCUAUCACAAUAGAUGUCCCAUCUGGUGCAUUAGAUAUAAUAUCUGUUGCACCAGAUAUAACAUCUGUUCAAUAUCUUUCUUAUCUUUAAGUAUAAUUAUUUUAUUUGAAGAAGACGUACUGCAUCAUCCAGAGGGUUAAAGAGAUUAGCCUCCUUAAUAUUGAUGUUGCUCUUUGCAGCCAACUACCUAAAUAUCCUUGGAUGAGAAACCUCAUUAUGGUAAUCCAUUAACUACUUUUGGAGGAGAGAAAUGGCUUCAAAUGCCCAAGGCAAAAAAAUGUAAACACGAAGCAAGCAAAAAAAAUCAUAAUAACUAUAUUCAAUAUAAAUUAAUGGAUGAGUAAAAUUAGUGAUUAAUUUUACCAUGAAAUCCCAAGGAAAGCCGUAUAAUGUAGUCAUCCCUGAGGAUAGAUUUGUCAGUAAAUAUUGGACAGUCAAGUAAAAGUUGUCAUAUCCCUAGGGAUAAUUGUUAAAUUUAUCAAAAUCCUUAACACACGCCAAUAAAUUAUCUUCUAUGACCUUAGUGACGUAUCUUUCCAAUAUAACUGAAUGGGCAAACCAAACUAAGCACAAUUGCUCCCUGUACUGCUCUGUUAUGGUUUUAUCCUCGAGAUCUGUCAACAAAUUUGAUGCUUUGUAGCCACGUCGAGCAAUGUCAAACAACCCAUCUAUUUUUCCCUUACAUUUUUUUGCCUUGGAUAUUUUGCGGGGUAGUGGUCCUUCUGGAUGAUGGCAUCUCAGGCCUGUCACUAUGGAAAACUCUUACAAGCCAAAACAAAUAAGCAUGCCACAGUAGUUGAUCCAGAUUUUAUCUAUCUUCUUUUUGCCUCCUCCUCCAGAUCUUUAUCAUCCCCUGCGUACUUAAUCCUGUGCUUGAGAAGACCAUAUACCAUCGUCAUAGGGAAACGGAUACAGGCAGAGGGGUCCUCAGGCAGCUCAAGAAAGCGUCAAAAGCAACUCUUCUUAAAAAGUCCACCUAUGUUUUCAUUCUUCAUAAUUUUCAUAAAAUGUUCAAAAAAUUUCCCCAUCUGACAUUUAAGUACAAUUUGACCAGCUAGUUGUUUUCCUUCUGGGUCAUUUAUCGGUAUCGCAACUUGACACCUGUCAAUACUAAAAGUUUUGAUAGAAUCAUACUGGGAUGUCGAUAUUAACUCAUGUCCCAUCGGUGAUCCAUUAUCAUCAUGUUGAUGAUCAUCCUCUUUCUCUUUCUGACUCUUCAAUUUCUCCUCUUUCUUAUUUUGAUUUUCUUCAUCACCAUCUACGGACCCUUGUCCACCUCCGUCAAUGUUGUUUUCAUAUCUCUCCUCAGCUUCACUUUUCCCUGACUGAGAUUGUUUAGGAAGCUCCUCCGACUCCCUCUACUAUAGCCUUUUUUUUAGUGGUCAGACGUUGAUCCACUUUCACUUUCUUUUAUUUUGAGAGACAUGUUUUACCUAAAGACAAAGAAAAAUAAAAAAUAUAUUACAGUUGAUGUAUGCAUAGAUUUUAAAAAAUACAUUACAAACAUCCCGAAUACCGACACCACCACAAACACCACCAACCAAUGCCACCAUCGGUGCCACCACGACGACCACAAACACCACCAACACCAUCCAACUAUACCACGAUAUUCAACGGAACAUUGCGACGGAAACUAGGGAUUUCUCGAGUUCUUCCUAAGAUUUUACCAUCAAAACUCAAAAUUGUAAACCCAUUCUUGAAGAUAAUACAACUAAAAGUUUUAUUUUUCAUCAUUAACUUAAAAUCCUUCAUUUUUUAGAAAAAAUAAAUAAAUAUAGAGCUCUUCUCUAACUCUGCUGCCUAUGAAGACAAAGAAAAUGAUUGAUACAAGCAAGAAUGAUGUCGAAAAUAACACCUAUGUGGUCCAAAAUGAGAAGAAAAGCAAUUUGUUGUGGAGGGUUAAGCAAAUUUGUUGAGUAGUUGUUGUCUGUACUAUAUUGUUGAGUGAGAAUGAGAGAGAAACAGCCAAACUUAGAGAUUUGAAAUGAUGAAACGUUUUGUAUGGGUUGAUUUGUAUUUUGGAAAAGAAUGACAAGUAGUUUUGAAAAUAUUAAUUUGGUCCAAAAUGAUCUUAAUUAUUUUUAAAAUCAUAAAAUAUAUGCGUGAUUUUUAACCCUCUCAUCAUGCAAUUUCCGAAAGGGUAAUUCAAUUGAAAUUGUAUAAAAACAAUUGAAGUUGUAGUUAACCGAAGGUGACCCUGUGAAAACUCACCCCUGGUCCUAGAUUAAUCAAUUUAGGUACUAUUAGUAUAACAUAUGAACUCAAUUAAAAUUGUAAAAAACAAAUGUUCAACAUGUUGCGUCAGAUUACUCAUCUGUUGUAAAUUAUCAAUCAGAUUAGGUAACAACUGGUUACGAAUCUGAUUUAAAUUACCAAAUAGAUUACGUCAUCUGUUGCGACAGAUUACCCAUCUGUUGUAAAUUAUCAAAUAGAUUAUCUUAUGUCACAAAAGAUUACCCAUAUAUUGUAAAUUACCAAAUUGGCGAUGCCAUCUGUUGUGGAUGACCCUAUGAGAACUCACUCCUAGUCCUAGAGUAAUCUAUAGUUUACCCUGUGAGAACUCACCCCUAGUCCUAGAUUAUUCAAUUAAGGUAUUAGUACCCUAGUCCUAGAUUAAUCAAUUAAGCUAUUAGUCUAACAUAUUAGUUAGUAAGAAUCGGUUCAGCUCAGAGUGAUCGAUCGUCGACUCUGGUCGGGAGGAACGCAGUACCGUUUCAUCAUGAAAUUGACAAAAGACUUAAUUGAAGUUGUAGUUGACCCCAUGAGAACUCACAUUCAAUUAAGGUAUUAGUCUAACAUAUGAACUCAAUUUAAUUAUAUAUAAACAAAUGUUCAACCUGUUGCAACAGAUAUCUUUUCUGUUGGAUCAAAUCAAAUAGAUUAAGCCAUUUGUUGUGACAGAUCAUGAAUUUAUUGUAAACUAUCAAACAUAUUAAGUCCUCUGUUGCAACAGACUACCCAUCUGUUGCAGAUUAUCAAAUAAAUUGAGUCAUAUGUUGCAAUAGAUUAUCCAUCUAUUGUAAAUUACCAAAUAGACGUUGUCAUCUAUUGUAGUUGACAUAAUGAGAACUCACCCCUAAUCCUAGAUCAAUCAAUUAAGGUAUUAGUUGAACAUAUGAGGUAGUAAUAAUCGGUUCAGCUUAGAGUAAUUGAUCGAUGACUCUUAUCGGGAGGAACGCAAUACCGUCUCAUCAUGCAAUUGAUAAAAGACUCAAUUGAAGUUGUAGUUGACCCUAUAUUUAAUUAGGGUAUUAGUACCUUAGUCCUAGAUUAAUCAAUUAAGGUAUUAGUCUAACAUAUGAGGUAGUAAGAAUCGGUUUGACUCAGAGUUAUCGAUCGAUGACUCUAGUCGGGAGGUACGUAGUACCGUCUUAUCAUGCAAUUUCCAAAAGACUCAAUUGAAGUUGUAUUGACCCUAUGAGAACUCACCCCUAUUCCCAGAUUAUUCAAUCAAGGUAUUAUUACCGUAGUCCUAGAUUAAUCAAUUAAGGUAUUAGUCUAACAUAUGAGGUAGUAAGAAUUGGCUCAGCCCAGAGUGAUGAUCGACGACUCUGGUUGGAGGAACGUAGUAUCUUUUCAUCAUGAAUUUUGCCAAAAGACUCAAUUAAAGUUGUAUUUGAACCUAUGAGAACUCACAUUCAACUAAGGUUUUAGUCUAACAUAUGAACUCAAUUGAAAUUAUAUAUAAACAAAUGUUCAACUUAUUGCAACAGAUGGUUUUUUUGUUAGAUCAAAUCAAACAGAUUAGGUAAUAUGUUGCAACAUAUUACGCAUCUGUUGUAAACUAUCAAACAAAUUACGUCAUUUAUUGCAAUAGAUCAUGAAUCUAUUGUAAACUAUCAAACAGAUUAAGUCAUCAGUUACACUUAAAUAUUUUUAGACCUUUUUUUAUAAAGCAAUUUAGGUAUUUUUUGUCUGAGAUAAAAUAGUUAAAAUACUAAGACAAUAAAAAAUAUUACUCGGUACUACUUAGAUAACUCAAAAAUCUCCUGAGUGAGUAGUCUUAUAUGGUCUUUUUAAUGUCAUCGUAUCUUCGUGCCCCUCAAAAGUUAUUAAUGGAUAUUUAAAAACCCCCAUAUCUAAAACUCUCUCUUUCAUCUAUAAAGUUGUCUAGACUCAACUCAUAACUCUCCUUUAUUCUUUAUUCUCAAUUAUAUUUUUUGUUUUCUUUUUUCCUCUCUUUUCUUUCUUCUUUUGAAUGAGGAUCCUUUGACAUCUUAACCAAUCAACAUCUUUUCUCGACUGAACUGGAUGUUCUGAUCCAUUUGCUUUUUUGACAUUGCAGGUAUGGUUCAAAGUUGCUCUUUUCAUCUCAUCUUCUUCUUUGUAUGUUAUUUAAAUUAGAUAUUUACAUCUGUUGCUAUUAAUGAUUUACCCAUUACCAGUUUGUUAUUUAUUGAGAAAAUUGAAGGAAAGGUGACUUUUAUGUCUUGAAUGAACGAACAGUUAUUUUUAUUAAAAGAUACGAAAAAAGUCAUCUAUUGAGAGAACUUAAAAAGUCUUGUUAUCAGUAUAGUUUUUUAUGUCUUUUGUUUGGUACUUUGGUGGUGCUGUUGUUGGGGGUGGUGGUUGUGUUGGAACAUGUGAUGUUUGUGUUGUGAAUGGUGUUGGAACAUAUGGUGUUGUUUUGUUUAUUUCUUUAUUGUUAAUGCGGGUGGUGGUGGUGUUGCAUCAGUUUCCUCAACUGUUGCCACUGAUGAAUUAGCUGUUGGAAUAGAUGGAGCAAUUUUUUAAAGAAAUCAAACCAGUAGCAAGGUUGGUUUGAUUUAUUACAACAGAUGGCCCAUCUGUUGGAAUAUGUCAUCUAUCUUUUCCAAACGAUACCUCAUCGGUUGAACAAAUGGGUAAUAUUUUGCAUCAUAUUGGUCAUCUGUUGAUUCACUCAAUUUUGUGUUACCCUUUUGUAAUGUUCUUUUUGUUCUUCUCUUGUUUGACAUCAAAUGUAUUUCUCUUAUUUGCAGACAAAAGGAAGUGAAAUAGGAUCCACUUUUGCCCGGCCAGUAUUAAAGGCUAGAGUAAAGAUGGGUUCAGAGGAAUAAGCUGUUUGUAGAUAGAACCACUUCAUAUGUGGGAGGUAUGUAUUACUGAUCAACCUAUCAUGAAAGCACGCAUCCAGUAUAAUGAUUUUGUGAAUGUUUGUUCUUCACCUAUUAGGCAUUAAUUCUUCAAACAAAUAUGGUAUUUUACAGUUAAGAUUGUUAGGUUCGAACUGGUAAGGCUGAGGGACCAAGACGGUGGCGUCGAUAUUCCGUUACAAUUUAAGGACAAUUUUUGCUCAUGUUUUUGUGUCAAGUUUGGGGAAGGGUUCAAGUUUUUGGCAGUAGUGUAAAUAUCCAAUAGUGAUUGGACCAGUUUUAAUGGCGCAAUGGACUUGUUGAAAGGCCUUCGAAGCCUCGCACUGCAACAAACAAUAAUGGAUCUAAUAGAAAUUUCCCUGGUCCAAAUUUAUAUGGAUGGGUUAUUGGAAGAGACUAUUAUACAGUAGAAGGUGUUUGGGAGAAACCCUGUACGGGAAGAGGGAGGUUGAGAAGGCCAUAUAUCAUAUUAGUACUAGUUUAAGAGGAUACACAGGGUCGGAAGAAAAGUGUAGUGAAAUUAGCUUAUGAAAUUGACAUGAAAAAUGAAAAAACUGGAUGAGAUGCGAACAUGAAAGUGUAUCCAAAAAUGAAAAUCCAUCAGUCGUUGAAGAAAAAGAAGAAUGGUCAAGAGGAAUUGAACUGGUCACUUUGCUAGAGACUGCAACUAGCGAGUGCGGCCUCAACGAAGACCCACAAAAUGCAGGACUAGAACUCUAAGAAAGCAUCUUCGCGAGCAUGGAAGGUGGUAAGAUUAUCGGUUUAAAUUGACAUGUAGGUUUCAAUUUUAAUCGACAAUCUUACCACCUUCCGUGCUCACGAAGCUUUUUCCUUGGAGUUCUUGUCCUGUACUUUGUAAGAGUCUUCAUUGAGGCCAUGCUCGCUAGUUACAUUCUCGAGCAAAGUGCUUUGUCUAGCUCCAGUCCUGUUGACCAUUAUUUUUUUCCAUCGAUCGACGGAUUUUUAUAUUUUGAUACACUUCCACAUUUGAAGCUCAUCCAGUUUUUUCGUUUCUAAUGUCAAUUUCAUUGGCCAAUUUCGCUACACUUUCAUUUCUACCCUGUGUUUCCUCUUAAGCAAGGUCUAAAAUGAUUUAUGGCCUUCUCCACCUCUCUCUUUGUGCAUAGGUACUCUCCGAAGCACCUUUUGCUGUAAAAAAGUCUCCUCUACCAAUCCAUCCAUAUAAAUUUAGACCAGGGGAAUUUCUAUUAGUUCUAUCAUUAUUUGCUGUAUUGUGAGGCUUCGGAGGCCUUUCAAGAAGUCUAUUGUGCCAUUAAAACCAGUCCAAUCACUAUUGGAUAUUUACACUGCCAUCAAAAAUUUAAAACAUUCCCCAAACUUGACACAAAAACAUGUGCAUGAAUCGUGUCAUUAAAUUUUAACGGGGUAUGGACACCACCAUCUUGGAACCCUUCGGCCUUAUCAGUUCACACCUAUCAAACUAAACUGUACAAUUCAGGAUCUUGUUUGAAGGAUCAGUGUCUAAUCAUCGGUAAAAAAUUAUAUUCACAAAAUCAUUGCACUUUAUGUGUGUCUUCACGGUAUCCUAAUCAAUAAUAUACAUAACUCGCAUGCAUGAAAGUAGGAUCCAUUGCACGUAUCUUACUCUUCCUACCCCAUCAGGACAUGUCAGUGUUGUUUAUUCAUCUGCACAAAUGUGAUGACUAUUAAAAUGGAGGUGUGAAGAGUUGUGACUUUUUAUUUUAACACAUUCAAAAUAGCUAAUGAAUCGAAAUCUCCAUCUGUUGCAACUGAUGAAUCAACUGUUGGAAGAAAUCAAACCAUCUCCUCAAAUAUAUGGUCCAUCUGUCGCAACAGAUAAUCUAUAUGUUGCAACAGAUGACAAAUCUGUUGUGAUAGAGCUGACUUUUUUUUUAAUUAAUCUGCGCUCAUGUGAUUACUUCUUUCUAAAAAUGUUUGUUUCAAUUUAGUUUUCCUAUUUAUAAAAUCAAGAGAAUUUUAUUAUAUUCUUUCAAGAUUACCCCUAUUAUUAAAUGACUACAUAAAGUAUAUUAUUCAUAUUUAUAAUUUCUAAUCAUAAUUAAUAAGUCCAAUUUGGUAAAAUAAUCACCUAAUUUAUAUUUUUAUUAAUUAGUGAACCAAGCCCAUAGGGCCCAACUAAUACAUAACGGAGGAACUAUUAAAAAGAGGUGGAGACUUUUUAUCUAACACAUUCAAAAUAGCUAAUGAACCGAAUACUCCAUCUGUUAAAACUGAAACUGAUGAAUCAGCUAUCAAAAGAUAUCAAAAUAUCUCCUCCAACUUACAUAUACUGUCCAUCUGUUGCAACAGAUAAUACAUAAGUUGCAUCAGAUGUCUUAUUUAUUGCAAAUACAAACCAUCUCUUGCAACAGAUGGUAAAUCUGUUUUGACAGCAGUCUAUUGCACAUUCAAUCCAUCUAUCUGUUGUAACAGAUGCUAAAGCUGUUAAAAAUGUUGGAUGAUCUGUUGCAACAGCUCAAUAAUAAUGGCUUUUAUCGAGUCUCAAACCUCUAUGAAAAGGUAAGAAGUAAUUAGUAUAAAAGAAAAAGUCGCGACUUUUCACAAAAAAUAAAAUGCCACCAGUUUGAAUGUAAUUAAUACAAUGGAGCUGAACAGUCCUACCUUUUGGUCUGACACGUCCAGAUUAUAUUAUAGGUCCCUCCUUAAUCUUCAUUCAACUCUAUUUAUUUCUUGCAUUUUUUCCUUUCGUGUGACAUCUUCAACCACUUCUCUUCAAAGAGCAUAUUCCUUUCUCGUUGAGGUAAGUUUUUUUCUGGUGUAAAUUUACUAGUUGGUCGUAUAUGUUAUAUUACAUUGUGAAUAUUUUUAUUUAUAUUUGUCAAUUCAUGCGUGUUCUAGAUAUGGCUGAUCCUUUUUCGGACAUUGCUAUUCUACGCGACACAGUGCGAAAACUUCAAAGGCAGGUUAAUGACCUGCAAAGCGAGUUGAUCAUUGUGAGACCGACAAUGUUCAGAGAGAUGCAGAGGCUGAUGAGAGCCCUGCUGCUGCGAUUUGAUUGGACGGUUGUCAUUAAUGAUGCUGAUAUGAUAAUAAUAAUUAGAAUGUGUUUUUUCUUUUAGCGUAUGUUUUUUAAUUUUUCUAUAUCGGAUCUAUAUCUAAUGUAUUUUAUUUUUCAUUUAAUGAAAAAUUUACUUUUAGUCAGACUUUGGCGUUUUAAUUCUUAUUCAAUUAACAUUUUGUCUAUUUCUUCUAAUCUAAUACAUGUUAACAUGUCGACGGUUGGAGGCAAUGUUGAAUCCAGUAGCACUAGCAAUUAUGGCUUUUGAGUUGUUUCAACAGAUGGACCAUGCGUUGGAACUGAUUGAUCAUUUGUUGGGUUUCAACAGAUUAUCCAUCAGUUUCAACAGAUUUUCAUCUGUUGGAGGACAGCAUUCCAGUUGUUUGUGCAACUGUUGAGAAUAAUUGUGGUCUGCUGUAUUAUUUAGUUCAUGUUUUGCCUCAUUUUAUUGAUGCACAAGUUAUUUUAAAAAAUACACUUUAUAUAUAAUAAAUGAUAACAUUAGGUUCACAACGAUCAUGGUGGAUUAUGGUGGAUUAUGAUUCAGGCAUGUAGUUCUUUUGUGGCCAGCGCACUUACAUAUGGAGCACUUAGUUGUUCUUGAUGAAAAUGAUUCUCCAACUCCACACCUCCUUUUAUAUGACUUUCUUCCCAGCUUGAUAGUACUCGGGUCAAUAUAUGGAGGAGGUAUUAAUCUCCCCAUAAGCUCUACUGGAACAACCCAAGAUUCUUUGGGAGGCACCGGAGUAAUAUGCCCACUAUAUGUCAUUUUAUAUUUUUCCACCGAAUAAUAUUGAGAGGAGUGCUCGUAAACUUCAAGUCCAUAUUUAUGGCCGUAUUGAGCUCGAAGGGCUGCCAUAGCAUGUGGACAAGGUAUUUUGUCCAAGUAAAAAAUUUUACACGUACAAGAUCUUAUUUAAAGAUCGACCGUGGCAGCAUCACCAUGACCGGUGAUAUAGAAUUUGUAAUCUGCUAUUUAUGAGAGAAUACCUAUUCCUCAAACUGAUGUUCAUUGAUAUUUUCUUUUCGAUUUCUAGAACAAAUCGAGUUCUUUUUUCUGGGCACUUGAACUGGACAUGCCUUUCGUUAAAAAAAUCGCUAUAUUUCUCGCUUAUUUUUUCAAACAUAGCCUUGAUGAGAAAUUCUCUUUCAUCACCAAACAAUGCAUUCACCGAUUCAGCUAUGUUUGAUGUCAUAAUAUUGUACCUAUAGAAAAGAAUCACUUAGUACGACAUCAAACUAAACUUAUAAAUCUAACAAGAUAUUAAAUUCAUAAAAAUGUACCUAUUUGCUGGACAGAAUACCCGACUCCAUCUCUCAAAACCGACACGUGCAGGAAAUCUUGCUACCUUUGGAUUCACAUCCGUGAUUUGAUUGAAAUGGUCUAAAAACUCCUCUCUACUAUAUGCUUUAGCUGCUCUAUAAAAAAAGGUGACGACCCUUUCGUUGUGAUAGUUGUUUCGAAUGCUCUCUACAAAAUGCCUGAUGCAACAACCAAAGUAAGCUAAAGUGAAGAAAAGUGAACCCAUCUUUGGAAUACUUGGAUGUCUAUCCGAUACAAAACACAACUCUUCAAUAUCUUCGAUGCAGCGUCACAGUUGUUCAAAAAAAAUCAUAAGAGGCAUCACAUUCCUUGUCCGCUACACAAAAAAUGAUAGGAAAGAUGUGAUUCUCCAUAUCCUGCGCCACCGCCGCUAGCAGAACUCCAUUAUACCUACUCCUCAAGAGGUACCAUCGACGGCUAUGACUUUUCUCAAAAGUCGAAAACCUUGAAUCCAAGCACCAUAGGAUACAAAAAAGUACUUGAACCUUUCAUUUUUAUCCAGAUGCAAUCCCGUCUUACUUUCAGGAUUUGUGGACUCAAUCAUGUAACGGUAAGCACCCAAGACUUCAUACCCAUGCUCGAGUGUCCCCCGAACCAGGUCCUUGGCAAUCCCCAUGGAUGCAUAUACCUUCCAAUAACUGACCAAGACACCCAAAUCCAUAAGGAGUUGAUUGUCCAUAAGCCUUGUUGAAGGGCCUUUGCCAUCGGGGAAACUACUCCUGAAAUAUUCACCGAAGACCUUUGUCGUGACGUAAGGAUUUUGGCCCGAGAUGUGCUCCGAACCACAUGUGUGAUGCUUUUCAUGUUUAUGAAUGAUGAAUUUAUCAGAACUUGCGUACUUCACCACUCUCAACCACCACUUGCAGUUCGAAUUAGCACAUUUGAAGCAAAAGACACUGCUCGAAUUAAUCACCUUCUUUAUUCUGAAAUCUUUUUUCAAGCAAGAAAUAAACAAAGUGUUAGAUAGUUUAUUCUUGUCCUUGAAUGACAUUUCAAUAAAAAAAGUCGUUUUCGUCAUCAUGAAGAUUUCCGGAUUGUGUCGAUUGAGAAGAACUGUACAUCGUAUUGGUCGUAUCAAUGGGCGUAGGUGUUUGAUCAUCAUCUGAAAUAUUCAUGUCUAGAUCAUCCAACCUAUCAUCCAAGAAGUCUUAUUUUUCUUCUUUUUCUUCUACGUUUUGGUUAUCAUUCUCUCUCGUCUUUUCAACCAUGUACACCCUUAACACCGACCUAGUUGAAUCACUUAGAUAAGAAUGCAACCGAACCUGAUCAGUUAUCUUGAAAGGCAGUACCCUCGGAUUUUCAAAGGAGCAAUGCAUGUAGCUGAUGGUGAAUUCUUUCGGUUGACAAUUCAGUCCACAAAAGCUGAUGAUUAAGUUCACAAAAUCAUCAUAUAAAACAUCACUUUAGACUGUUAUAGCUAUCGUCUCUAGCAUUUCACCCUCCUUCCAANNNNNNNNNNNNNNNNNNNNNNNNNNNNNNNNNNNNNNNNNNNNNNNNNNNNNNNNNNNNNNNNNNNNNNNNNNNNNNNNNNNNNNNNNNNNNNNNNNNNNNNNNNNNNNNNNNNNNNNNNNNNNNNNNNNNNNNNNNNNNNNNNNNNNNNNNNNNNNNNNNNNNAUGUUAUAACUAAAUCACCUUUGAAGCUGAUUCCAACAGAUGAGUGACAGUUGCAACAGAUAAUUAACCUAUUGCGACAGAUGGCUUACCUGUUGCAACAGGUUAUUAAUCUAUUGUAACCUAUGUUGGAAUCGUGUUCAGGUUCUGUUGCAAUAGGUAACUAAUCUGUUGCAACAUAUAUGUCAAAUGUUGCAACAGAUGACCCAUUUGUUUAAAUAUGAAUCCAACAUAUCAGUCUUUUAUUGAAACAGAUAUCUCAUCUAUCAUAACAGAUGAUUUAUCUGUUUAAACAGAUGGAUUUUAUGUUGGAUUCAUAAUUGGGUUCUAUCCAUUGUUAGAAAAUAACAACACAAUAGCAGUUACCCAGAUGACAAAUUCAACUAAAAAUUAUAAUUUGACUUACCAUCGUCUCCUAUGGAGUAAUGCCAAAGUGGAAAGUGAUGUUCGAAACAAAAUUUGACGUAAACAAUUGGUCAAAUCGCAACAGUAGAGGUAACAACAAUAACAAAUGGUCAACAAGAACAAGAUGAAGAUAAUAACGAAGUAGAAAAUAAUGAUAAUGAAGCAGAAGAUGAUGAAUGAAGCAACAGAAACAAUGAACAAUAAAAAUCACUAAGAGAGAGAAAACAACAAUGGGUGAGAAGAGAGAGAAAGACGCCUUUUUUCCUCCGUUUUUCGUUAUAUAGGCUAACAUUUAGAUCAAACUGUAAAUUUAAAAACUUGUGGUUUAUUUUCAAACUUUUCCAACUUUCUUAAUCCAUAGUAAAAUAAUUGUCACCUCCACCUAAUAAUUAAGACUUAUGUCACCUACACCUCAUUUUAAAACUCUUUUGUCACCUGUGGCCCAAACCCCCAAGUAAGAAAGAUGAAAAACAUGAUAAAACUUAUGAGUUAUUUCCAUGAAUAGUCAUCCAGAUUUUAGAAACUGCCUCCAAAUAUCAUUUUUAUUUUAUUUAAGACAAGAAUAUCACCUAACUAUCCCAAUUUUCUUUAAAAAUACUUAACACUUCAAAACAUUCUUCACUCCUAGUUGGCAUGCCAUGUCACUAAAUUUUAUUUUAUUAAUAAUAGACCUAUUUAGCUCUUCAAUUUUAUUUAUUCAAACUUAUGCCUUAUAAAGUACAAAAAAAUGUAAAUAACGUGAAAAUUUAUCUGAAAAUUAAACAAAAGAAUUUUUAGGUAAUCUAGUUUCCUAUAAAAAUUUUACCAAAAAAAUGGAUGGCGAACCUAUGGUCUUUUUUGCUGCCAAACAAAAUUCAAUGAGAAAACUUUAAAAAUAUGUAUUAUUACCUGAAAGUUUUAAUUUGGACGUAAAUUACUUGCAAAUUUUUAUGCAAGAUAGUUUUUGAUAAAUGUAUAGUGAAAAUAUGAAUUUUUUCUUGCAUUUUUUUCACAAGUAAUUGCCUAUAAAUAAAUCAAGUAAACUUGUAGGGUAACACAAAAAAAAUUUAAAAAAAUAUCAUUAUUUUUAAUUUGGUUUCUUCACUUUUUGUGACCAUUAUAUUUAUAUUUUAUUUUAUUAUUAACUAAAACAUCAAUUUAUAUUCGUACUUCAAAAUCAAAUAAUAAUUGAUUGAGUCAUAAUUCAAAAAUUCAUUUGUACUAGUACUGAAGAAGAGAUCAUCUUGUUAAUAUUUCUUACAAAAAUUAAUUUGUUUCAAGACUAAAUAAUUUUUCUUUCCUUCAAAAAAGUGAAUUUUAUUCUUUUAUUCUCAUAUAAAUAACAAAUUUAAUGUCUAAAAUAUAAAAUCCGUUGUUUUUAUUUUCUUACAUUUUAAGAAUCUUUAGUAUAUAAAAUAAAUGACAAACAAAAUUAAAAGAGUACCAAUUCAUAUAAGUACUUGAGUUUUAAAUAUUAUUAAGUGGUGAAAUAAAUAAGUAAGUAAAAGAAAUUUUGAAAAGUACAUACCAAAUAAAAUAAUUUAAGCUUUUGGUGUAAUUAAAUUAAUUUAUAGUGAUCAAUAUAUUAUUUUUAUUUUUUUAAAAAAAUUAGGAUAAAACUUUAGUUAAAUAAGUUUGAUAAGUUAAAUAAAUCUAUUUAUAAAAAAAGAAAUUUUAAUUACAUGGCAUUUUAAGUAGGAGAGAGAAGAUUUUUGAGGUGUUACUAAGUAUAUUUUAAGGAAAAUAAGAAGAUUUGGGUGAUAUUUUUAUUUUUGUCCUAAAUAAAAUAAAAGUGAUAUUUAUAGGUAAUUUUUCAAACAUGGAUGACCAUUCCGUGAAUUUACUCUAAAACUUACUCAAGUGCUGAUAAAUGACAUGAGUUUGAAGGAGGAUUUCUUUGAUAUUAGUUUAUUGAGAAUAUGAGAAUGUUUUUACGAAGAAUAUGCAUAUACUUGAUAUGUGAUGAGAAUGAUUAAUAUAAAUUAAAAAGAUUUAAUUGUAGUUGGUAAAUGGGUUUAAGAUUUGCACGUUAUAUUUUGGGAGUGAACGAAUUGCUGAAAUUGGAUUAACAUUUUGCAUCCCUCUUAAUUAAGUGGUGUAUAACUAUUUGUGGUUUUAUUAUUCUUCAAAUUGUCAAAGACUUUUUCAAUUAUUUUUCCUCCAUAAAUAAGAAAUCUGAGUGGUUGAAACAAUAAAACUAUUUCAUUAGUAUAUGAAGUAUUAAUUAUAAAGUCAUUUAUUAUUACCACAUUAAAAAAAGGUUAAAAAUAAAAAAAGGAAAAAACUUAAAAAAAAAAAAAAAAAACAGGAAUUGAGGCCAUUGAGUGCCACAUCACCUUUUUUAUGACCCUCCUUUAUACAUAUAUACAUAUAUAUAUAUUUCUGCAAGAAGCUGUUUCAACACUUAAAUCCGUUACAUCCUAAUUAAAUGACAAUAACUUAUAAUCAUAAAUAAAAAUAGCCAAACAUUAAUUUAUAUUUAGCUACAAAAAAAUUUAUGUAGAAAAUAAUUAAAUUAUUCAGCUACAAAUCUCAAAUCAUCACUACUUAAUGAUGACAUAUUUUGUGACAAAAUUAUGUUGUCAUUGAAUCACAGGUUGAUUAGAGAUAAUAAAAUGAGUGUCACUAAUUAUUAAUAGUAUUAGUGACCAAAAUUAAGAUCACAAUCAAAUAUCAAAUUUUGUAGCUAAAACUUACAAUAUUUAACUACGAACUCUAAUUUAUCGCCAUUGCAACAACUUAUUUUUUAUGACAAAAUUUUUUUGUGUCAAAAAUUAUAAUUAAUUUAAGACAAAUAAUAGUUUGUCACAAAUUGAAUACAUAUUAGCGACAAAAAAGAGUGUCACUAGAUACUUAAAAUUUGUCACUAAUGGUACGUAAUAAAUGGUGCAAAAAUAUGUUUUGGUGGAAAACUUUAGAGGACAAAACAUUGCUAUGAAAUUUUAUGUUUCAUCACUGUAUUUAGAUACGAAAUAUAAUUUUUGUCACAAAAAGUAAAUAAUUAGUGACGAAUUACAUCUCGUAGAUAAUAAUUUUGUAGCUAUAUAUCAAUUUUGUUGUAGUGUAUAUAGAAAACCCUAAGAACAAAGAGGAGUUGAACGUCCUGCUACCGAUUAAGUCCUCAUAAACGUUUCUAUCAGGGUCAACUUUAAACAAGCAUUACUUCUAGAAGUUUGUAGCUUAAAGGUUUUAGAGUCUUCUUUUCAAUGUAAUCAAUUGUUUGUCAAUCCAAGUUCAGAGUAAAAUGUUAUGGGUAUUUUAGUGAGGCACUAGCCGAGGUGUAUAUUGGAAAGCGAGGGGCGGAGCUGGUGAGUGAAAAAUCACUGGAAAGCCUCCGUGUUGGGAUGUGCAGAGCAAAGCCUCCUCCCCGACUUAUAAAUAUGUUUUUCUCUUAUUAAAACAAAGUCAAACUAGUUCUUUCACCUCAAGUAACUUUUCCAAUUCAUUUUUAAUCCACAAAAUCAUCCUAAACUAUGAGAAUCAUUCUCAAAUCCCUAAUUCCUCCUCUUUCCGAAAUCCCAAACUCUCAAUCCUAAAGUUUUAAUAAGGAUCAAAGAUUAAAGUCCUUCUCAACGUUUUCUCACCUAAUUCGUCAUCAAGGGUAUGUGGGACGAAUCUAAGUCAAGUAAUUCUUCAUAUCGAUUUCAAUUAGGAUUCAAGCUUUAAGGCUAAGGAUUUAAGUUUUUCUCAAUUUCUUCCUUCAAAAAGGCAAUUAGGAUUCAAGCUUCAAGGCUAAGGAUUCAAAUUUUUCUCAAAUUCCUUCAAGAAAUAUGAGGAACAGAAAUCGUGUAGGUAUUCUAGUUGAUGAUGAGCUUAGAAAGCAAGUGGUAGAGGUUAAGACGACUAAUGUUAGGAUGAUGUCAAUUAAGCUAGUUAUUGAAGGGUCUUCUUGGAAUAUCAUUAGUGUGUAUGCACCGCAUGUGGGCCUGGAUGAUGAAGAGAAGAAGAUAUUUUGUGAGGAUUUGGACGAGAUGGUGAGGGGUGUACCCAGUAAUGAGAAGCUUUUCAUAUGAGGCGAUUUCAACGGGCACAUAGAAUCUUCUUCGAAAGGUUAUGAUGAUGUACAUAGAGGAUAUGAGUUCGGGAUAAGGAAUGUGGAAGGAGCAGCACUUCUGGAUUUUGUGUGGACUUUUGGAUUAGUGGUAGUUAAUUCAAAUUUUCCCAAGAAGGAGGUUUAUUUGGAUACCUUCUGUAGUUCGGUAUCCAAGAUUCAGAUUGACUUUUUGUUCCUCGGGAAGAGAGAUAGAGGUAUUUGUAAGGAUUGUAAGGUCUUACCGAGUGAGAAUUUUUUGACCCAACAUAGGCUUUUGGUGAUGGACAUGGAGAUCAGGAAGGAGAGAAGGAUGAAAGAAGUGGAGGAUCGAUCAAGGAUUAGAUGGGGCAGUCUGACUUUGGCCCGUACAUUAAAAAUAGGGUAUAAGUUAAUGGAAAGAGAGGCUUGGAGGAGUGGAGGGUAUAUUGAUAGUAUGUGGGAUGAGACUGUUAAUUUCAUCAAGGAUACAGUUAGAGAGAUAUUGGGGAUCUCGAGAGGCCGCUCGGGCAAGCACCAAGGGGAUUGGUGAUGGAACGAGGAGGUGAAGGGGAAGGUGGAGACUAAGAAGAGAGCAUAAGCUAAGUUGACUGAGAGUAAGGAUGAAGAAGAUAAAUGGAAGAAUAAGGAGGAGUAUAAGAUUUCUAGGUGAGAAGUAAAGUUAGCGGUCAUGAGAUCUAAAGAUGCUACCUUCGAGAUUUUAUACACAUCAUUGGAUAGUAAAGGUGGGAAUAAAAAGUUGUACAAGCUCGCCAAGGUUAGUGAGAGGAUGGAUUAGGACCUAGAUCAGGUAAAGUGUAUUAAAUAUGUGGAUGAUGAAGUCCUGAUAGACGAGGGUCGUAUCAAAAAGAGAUGGCAGUCUUACUUUUAUAAGCUCCUGAAUGAAGGAAGGGAUACUAGCAUUAUGUUAGGGGAUUUAGAGCAUUCUGAGAGGUUCCGUGAUUAUGGUUAUUGUAGGCACUUUAAGGCUGAGGAGGUUAAGGGGGUUAUUCGUAGGAUGCGUAGUGGUAGAGCGACGGGGCCAGAUAAGAUUCUGGUAGAUUUUUGGAAGUGUACAAGAGAGGCUGGUAUAGAGUGGUUAACACGGUUAUUUAAUAUAAUUUUCAAGACGGUAAGGAUUCCUGAAGCUUGGAGGUGGAGUACGAUGAUUCCUUUGUAUAAGAAUAAGGGUGACAUUCAGGAUUACAAUAAUUAUAGGGGUAUCAAGUUGUCGAGUCACACUAUGAAAGUUUGGGAGAGGGUGGUAGAGUUGAGGUUGCAAAGAAUUGUUACUAUUUCUGAUAAUUAGUUUGGAUUUAUGCCUGGGUGCUCGACUACUGAAGCCAUUUAUCUCGUCAGGAGACUGGUGGAGCAGUAUAGGGAUAGGAAAAAGGAUUUGCAUAUGGUGUUUAUCGACUUAGAGAAAGCCUAUGAUAGAGUUCCUAGGGAGAUUCUUGGGAGGUGUUUGAAGGAUAAAGGGGUGCUUAUUGUGUAUGUUAGGGGCGAUUAAGGAUAUGUACGAUGGAGCCAAGAUGCAGGUUAGGAUGGGAGGAGGGGACUCGAAGCACUUUCCCAUCUUGAUGGGGUUACAUCAAGGUUUGAUGCUUAGUCCAUUUCUUUUUGCCUUGGUGUUGGAUGUUUUGACGCGGCAUAUUUAAGGCGGGUACCUUAUUGUUUUCUUUUUGCGAAUGAUGUGGUAUUGAUUGAUGAGACUCGUAGUGGAUUUAAUGAUGAAUUAGAGGUUUGGAGGCAAACUCUGGAGUCUAAAGGGUUUAGGUUGAGUAGGUCCAAGAUGGAGUAUUUGGAGUGUAAGUUCAGCAAGGUGUCUCAUGAGUUCGAUGUGUUAGUUAAGCUUGACACUCAUUCUAUUAGUAAGAUAGAUAGUUUUAAGUAUCUGGGAUCUAUGAUUCAGGAAAAUGGAAAGAUUGACGAACAUGUCACUCAUCGGAUUAGGGUAGGGUGGAUGAAAUGGAGGCUCGCCUCAGGAAUAUUGUGCGAUAAAAAGGUACCUCUCAAACUUAAAGGCAAGUUCAACAGAUUGGUGGUUCGACCGACUUUUUUGUAUGGGGAAGAGUGUUGGCCUAUUAAGAAGGCCCACAUCCAGAAGAUGAAGGUGGCGGAAAUAAGAAUGCUUAGGUGGAUUUGUGGGAGUACUAGAAAGAUAGGAUUAGAAAUGAGGUUAUUCUAGAUAAAAUGGGAGUGACUUCAGUGGAAGACAAGAUGAGGGAAGCGAGGUUGAGAUAUUUCGAUCAUAUAAAGAGGAGGAGCACUGAUGCUCCAGUGUGGAGGUGUGAGAGGUAGGAUAGGGAUGGUUUUAAGCUAGGUAGAGAUAGAUCGAAGAAAUAUUAGGGGGUGAUUAGACAUGAUAUGGAGCGGCUCCAGCUUACCGAGGACAUGACCCUGGAUAGAAAAUUGUGGAGGAGGCGGAUUAGGGUAGAAGUUUAGUUCGAGUUUAGGAUAUUAUGUAUUUUGGUGUGUUUCUUGGAGUAUCUUGCAUAUGAUAUUAUUGGAUAUGCUAAUUUCUAUUGUAUCUUGUUCUUUUCCUGUUCCUACUAUUACUAUACCCUAUCUUGUAUCUUGUAUCUUGUAUCUUGUUUUUUUACUAUUUCUAAUACUCCUAUUCUUUAUCGUAGACUAUUUUAUUCUGAGCUGGGGGUCUACUGGAAACAACCUCUCUAUCUCAUAUUUUAGGUAGUGGUAUGGACUACGUACACUUACCCUCACCAGACCCCACUUGGUCGGAAUAUACUAGGUAUGUUUUUGUUGUUGUUGUUGUUGAACACUCCCUACUUCAACUACUUUUAUAAAGUGUAAAUUUUUAAUUAUUAUUUAUGUAUAUUUUGUAGAUGAUUUGAAGUUAGGGUUGGGGAUUUUAAUUUGAAAAGCUUGAUAUAAAAUUUCUUUUCUUUAUGAAUGAUUUUUAACUCUUUCAUGGGUAUUUGAAAAUGAUGAGUCUUCACGUCUUAAUUUUGAAUGUUAAAUGUAUAAAUAUUUAAGUCAUGGUUAUGAAGUCUCUUGAAAGCUUUGAGUUGAAUAAGAAAUAUAAAUAUUUUUGUCAUCCUUUGUAUCAUUAAACGUAAGGUAUUAUGAGAAUGUUUUGAAACUGUUAUGAAAAACUCAACUAUGAUUAUGUUAUAAUUUUGAAGACGGGAUUAAGAGUCUAUAAUGUUUUAUGAUAAUGAUUUACCAUGAUAUGGAUGACUUACAAGUCUUGGUAUGACAUUACCUAAAUCUGAAUAGUUUAGCGAAAGACUAUGGAUAAAUGUUAAUGAAAAAUGCUUUAAUUGGGCUAAGAGGAUUAUUCAGUUCGCCGAGAAAGUAUAUGUCACGACCCAAAAAUGAGGGUCAUGAUGGCGCUUGUCGCGGCGUACCUUGACAAGUAAGCCUAUCACCCAAACUGAUACGAAAAGAGGAAAAUACAAAAAUAUCUCAAGGUAAGGCUUCUAGAACGAAGCUGAACCAUAUAAGUAAUCAUAACAAUGCGGAAAGAACUUAUCCAAAAUACCAAUCAUGCCCAAAACCAGGUGUCAAUAGUGUAAGAACUACUAAUACAAUCUAAGGGUCAAAUACAUCAAAAAAAUAACCACAAAGGAAUAAUAACUGUCUUCGAAUACUAAUAAAUACAUAACUACUAUAGAAAGAUAGAGGUGAACUUCGGACGUAUGAAUGUCCAACCACUACCUUGGAAUCUCCAACAAUCGACCGAGUCAAGCAAGUUGAGGUGCACUCGAGCUAGGACCUGCACCGAAAGGGCGCAGUAGGCAUGAGUACGGUCCACUUGUACUCAGUAGGUAUCAUAGGCUGACCAGGAAAAUUAGUAAAUAAAGCAUACAAAAUAUACACUAAGGGCACGUCACCUGUAAUAAGAAAAUGUCCCACAAUGGUAGCCCACACGGCUCGCACUAACAGUUCUAAUAUAUCUCACAUAUAUUACAACAACACAGCAAGAUAUAGAACACAAGUAUACAUUAUGUCACAUAUGAAUAGAACAAAAGAGAACAAGUAGAUGCAAGAUCAUCAGAUACAAGCAAAGGAAGGUAACCCAAAUUCAUAGAUGACAAGUCAAAAAGGCAAUACAACACAACAUAAACGCAAUAAAGUAAGUGCAAUGGUGAUAUGAUGAUGAUAAUGAUGCAUGAGGUCGUCGCAAAACCUCCGGGAUCGUCGUACAAUCCCCGUAUACACCUACGGAGGCAAGCCUCACAACACAGGACCCAUGGGGGGUUCGUCAACCCGUAUAUAAUCCAUAUAUCUCAUAUCUCUUUUCCGGCACAUCCCUCGAAAAGAGUUUUAUAAGGUGUUACAAUAUCUUUUAAAAAGGUAUUGUCAGUGUGUCUCAGAUGUUGCUACUGUGGUACCAAUAUUUCAUGAAUGAGUAUGAUAAGAAGAUGUAAUGCUCAUAACCAAUCACAAUAAGUAUUUCCACAAACAACCACAUGAUAUAUUUCCACAACCAACCACAAUGAUACUUUUCCACAACCACAUGAGCUAAUAUCCACUCAUUAUUUUCAUAGCGUCCAUGAAUUUUUACAUGUCUCAUUUGCCAAUAAAGUAUGAAUAUAAUCAGAAUACACCAAUGGUAUCACAUUAAGAAUUUAAACAAUACAAUACAAUUAUUCAUGUAUAUUCAAGGCUAUCAAUAUCACAUAGGACCCCAUAGAGUCACACAUUUCACAUAACAUCUCAGUUUCGACAAUUACAUCACAUAUAAGCCCCCACACGGGCACAACACAUAGAUGGCCAUUUUUCAUGAUUAGUUCUCACCCUUAGCAUGCAUUUUGUACCAUCGUUUACUACCCAAGCCAAUCUGAAAGAGUUAAUCCAUAACCUACCUCGAAAGCCGAAAUAGAUCCGCUAUACUUGAACCCGCAAUCUUACUUUUCAUGAAUAAUUCCAAACUCCACUAAAAACAUCAACUAUGAAAUCUAUACAUCAAUACAAAACUAACGACACCCAUAUUGACUACUUUUGGUUCGGGGUCAAAACGGAACCCCAAAAUGAGUUUUCAAAAAAGAAAGGCAAAAUCAAAACUUUACUUCAAAAAUAUAUUUCCCAUAUUUUUAGAAAACUACAGCUGAAAAUUCAAGUUAAAUCGAGUAAAAAAUGGGGUUCAAAUCGAAGAAAAACCAUUUUUGAGCUUUACCGGGUAAAAUAUUUGAAAUCCGGGUUAAAAUCAAGAAUCAGAGUUGUUUUGAAGGUAUUGAUGAAAAACUAGUAAUUAUAAGAUAAAAAUAUUAUUCAAGUGAAAGGAAUGAAAUUUGGAUUUAAAAUCAUGCUCUAAGAUUUUGGGGUUUUGAGAAAUUAGUCAAGAAAUUAUUAAGAAAAUGGUGAAUUCUUACCUUUAAUCCGUAAAACCAAGAAAAAAGUGUUAAUCUAGCUUCUCAAGCUCUCACAAACUUUACUUUUAAGCUCUCAGACUAUUUUAAGGUUUAACUCCCAAGAACCAAGAUGAAAAUGAGUAAAAUGGGCCAAAAAGGGUGAAAAAUCUGUAAUUUAUUGCAGAUUUUCUGCAAUAGCUAUGCAGAUUUGUUUCAUUAAGUCGGAAUGGAUUUCGACGGGGUGUUCGGGAUUCAUUCGGAGUCUGAUUUAUGCAAACGAACUAUGCAAUAACACUAAAUUCAACGUUUCGAACGCGAUGGCGAUAUCAGAUUUUUAAAAAAAUAUCGUUUUCAUAAAGUUGACCCCCUAAAUCCGAAAUUAUAAUUUUCUAAACCGGGGGUCGAAAUGUGAUUUAAAGGCGUAAAAUCAUACCAAAUAUCGAUAUUUCAGAUCUGCUGGAGAAGUCGAAUUUUCCAUACGAGGUCGUUUCGAUCAAAUGUGGGUUCCACACCCAUAUUUCCAAUUAUUCAACUUUCUGACCAAUAGGUCAAAAUGAGCUCGAAUGCACAGGACCCGAACCAAAGGUCUACCUAGCCUAAAAUCGAUAUUUUGGAGUUGCUGGCGCAGUCCAUUCGGCCAUCCAUCACAUGGAUCAAAAGAUAUUUAUGUAAGUCAAAAAUAAGACUCUCGAAGCCAUCAAAAACCACAAUAUUACAUAAAUGAUACCAAAAUGCCUCAAAAAUCAUGUCAAUCGCUCCCACACCCCAGAAAAUAUUAUAAUGCAACUACGAGGAGGGGUAAAACAGUCAAAUCACAUAAAAUCAUAAAUUUCACGUAUUUCAUCAAUUUUUUUAGGUCGUUACAUUAUCCACCACUAAAAAUCUAGUUCGUCCUCGAACUAAGGCAAGGAAAUACCAGAAUCAAUGAAAAGCUGGGGAUAGGAACUACGCAUAUCAGACUCAACCUCUAGAGUAGCCUCAUCUACAGGUCGAUGUUGCCACUGGAUCUAAACCACAAGGAUCACUCUAGAGCGCAACUGCCUAACAUCCCUAGCCAAAAUGGAAACUGACUCAUCAACAAAGGACAACCGCUCAUCUAACUGAACUGACUCCUAACGAAUGACAUGAGACUUAUCAAGAAUAUAGCAACGAAGCAUAGAAAUAUGAAAACUGGAUGAACAACUAAUAGAUCAAGGGGCAAAGCCAACUCAUAAUCCACAUCACCAACAGUUCAAAGAAUCUCUAAUGGACCAAUAUACCUGGGGCUAAGCUUGCCCCUCUUCACAAACCUCAUCACACCCUUCAUGAGUGAAACUCAAAGAAAAUAUGAUCACCUAUACCAAAUCUCAAGGCACGAAGUCUACGAUCAGCAUAACACUUCUGCCUACUCUGAACCGUUCUAAGUCUAUCCUUAAUCACCCAAACUCUAUCCCAAAGCAAGUACACACCUCAAGGUCUCACCUCUGAAACAUCGAACCAACCUACUAGGGAGUGACAAUGCCUACCAUAUAACGCCUCAAAAGGAUUCAUAUCAAUACUAGAGUGGUAGCUAUUACUAUAUGCAAACUCUGCUAAAGCCAAAUGAUGCUCCUACUGGCCACCAAAAUCCAUCGUGCACGCGUGAAGCAUAUCCUCCAAAACUUAGAUAGUUCGCUUUGACUGGCCAUCAGUCUGGGGUGAAACGUUAUGCUAAGAUUAACCUGAGUACCCAACUCAUCCUGAAAAGUCUUCCAAAAGUGAGAUAUGAACACAAAACCUCGAUCUGAAAUAAUGGACACCGACGCACUAUGUCGAUGCAUAAUCUCACGAAUGAAGAUAUGGGCUAACCUCUCAGCACUGAAUGAGACCUGAACCAGAAUAAAAUGAACUGAUUUGGUCAAUCAAUCCAUGAUGAUCCAAACACUGUCAGGACUAAGAGAAGUACGAGGUAACCCAGUCACGAAGUUCAUAGUGAUUUGUUCCCACUUUCACUCGAGAAUGGGUAAUUUCUAAAGCAAACCACCAAGUCUCAUAUGCUCGACCUUCACCCGUUGACAACAUCGACAACGAGCCAUAAAAUUUGCUAUAUCUCGCCUCAUACCACCCUACCAGUAGUGCUGUCUCAAAUCACGAUACAUCUUAGUCACACCUGAAUGGAUGGAAUAUCUGGAACAAUGGGCGUCAUCCAAGAUCAACCAAAUCCAAUCACCACUCUUGACACACAAACUCAGCCCCCAAUCCUCAAAACUCCAUCUAAAUCAAGUAAGGCUUCCUUAGCCCCCCCACUCAACACCUUAUCUUGAAUUAACCUCAAUCCAACAUCAUUAAACUGAUGAUCUCAAAUCUGCUCUAUCAAAGAAGAUCUAGCCUCCAUAAAUGCCAAAACACGCCCCGAUAACGAAAUAUCAACCCUAACUAUCAGGUUAGCCAAAUACUAAACCUCUAAGGCCAACAGCCUUUCCUAAGUCAAAAAAUGUACCAAGCUACCCAUGUUAGUCGACUUUCGGCUUAAGGCAUCCGCAACCAUAUUAGUCUUACCCGGAUGGUAGAUAAUAAUCAAGUCAUAAUUCUUAAGCAACUCAAGCCAGUGGUGUUGCCUCAUAGGAAAUCUCACUAGUAAAGAAGUACUGAAGGCUAUCUGAGAAUAUCUCACAACGGACUCCAUACAAGUAGUGCCUCCUCAAAUUUAAAGCAAACACAACUGCACGCAACUCUAAAUCAUGGGUAGGAUAAUUUCUCUCAUGAGGCUCCAAUCUUGACGAGACAAAUACAUAAUUACCUUGUCCUCCUGCAUCAACGCGGCACCUAACCCAACAUCUGAAGCAUCACAAAAGACAAUAAAGCCCACGUCCUCCAUGGGCAAAGCCAAUAUAGGAGCUGAAGUCAACAGAUCCUUGAGCUUUUGAAAACUCGCCUCACAAACAUCAUACCACUGGAAAGAAAUCUUCUUAUGAGUCAACUUAGUCAAUGUAGCUUCAAUGGAUGAAAAACCCUCGAUAAAACACCGUAAUAACUUGCUAAGACAAUAAAUCUCUAAAUCUCAGUGGCGAAGUAGGUCUAGCCCAAUCACGAACCACUGCAACCUUGGCUGGAUCAACCAUAAUACCUUCCAUAGUCACCACAUGACCCAAGAAAAAAAUAAACUCCAACAAAACUCGCACUUAGAGAACUUAGCAUACAACUCCUUAUCCCUCAAUCUCUGAAGCAUAAUCCGCAAAUGGUCCCCAUGCUCAACCUCACUCUUGGAAUACACCAAGAUAUCAUCUAUAAAUACAAUAACAAAGGAGUCAAGAUACGAUCGAAACACCCGAUUCAUCAACUCCUUGAACGCGGCAGGGGCAUUGGUCAACCUAAAGGACAUGACCAAGAACUCAUAAUGACUAUACCGAGUUUGAAAAGCUUUCUUCAGAAUAUUCAAAGCUCUAAUCCUCAAGUGGUGAUAACCGAACCUCAAAUUAAUCUUUAAAAAUACCGCAGCACCCUGAAGCUGAUCAAAUAAAUCAUCGAUGCGAGGAAGAGGAUACUUAUUCUUAAUCAUCACCUUAUUCACUUGCCAAUAAUCAAUACACGUCUGUAUAGACCCAUCUUUUUUCUUGACAACAAGACAGGUGCAUCCCAAAGUGAAACACUAGGUCAGAUAAAUCCUUUAUCCAACAACUCCUGCAACUGAUUCUUUAGUUCUUUCAACUCUGCUGGGGCCAUCCUAUAAGGAUGAAUAGAAAUGGACUUAGUGGUCGGCUCAACAUCAAUGGAAAAAUCAAUAUCUCAAUCCGAAGGCAUACUAAGGAAGUCCGUAGGGAAUACCUCAAUAAACUCACGAACAACAAAAACAGAAUCCAAGGAAGGAGGCAAAAUAACACUUGUGUCACGAAUAUGGGCCAAGUAAGAUAAACAUCCCUUCUUAACCAAUUUACAAGCUUGAACAUAAGAUAUAACCCUUUUAGGACCCGAAUGAAGUGCAACCUUCUAAGCUAUACUUGUCACACCAGCUUAAGCUAAAGUCACAGUCUUAGCAAAAUAACCUAAGACAACAUGAUAAGGAGCCAACCAAUCCAUACCCAAAAUAACAUCAAAAUUGACCAUAUCUAACAUAAAUAAGUCUACCAAAGUCUCAUUCCCCAGAAAAGUCACAACACAAUAUCGGUACACUUAUCCACCACUAAAGAAUCACCUACCGGGGUAGAUACAUAAAUAGGUAUGGCAGAAGGCUCACUAACAGAAUCAAAACCCAAAGUAAAAUACACAGACACAUAGGAGAAAGUCAAUUUAAGAUCAAAUAAUAUAGGUACAGGACUGAAACAAACAGGGACGAUACCUAUGAUCACAACAUCAUAAGCCUCUUCCUCAGGUCUAGAUGGUAUAGCAUAACACUAUCCACAACUACCAACUAGCUGAGUUGCCCCACGACCACCAAUACGGGCUCUACUAUUUCUAUCUCUCGCACCUUUGGUAGAACCCCUACCUCUCACAACUGAAAUAGGAGUAGCUCUAAACAUAUGGUGAGAACAGUCCUUGGCCACAUGGCCAAUCUCAUUACACACAUAACAACCUCUACGACCAGUCUCAAUAAGACAAAGUACAGUUGAGCCCAAACGGCCACCCUGAACUGCAGACAGAGAAGAUCCACCAGAUGAACUCAAUAAAAUCACCUGCACUGGCCAACCAUGAUAUCUACGAGAACCUCUAAAAUUUGUGCCUCGAUAUAUCAGACUCUUGAACUCACCAAAAUGACACACCUACUUGGCGUCUCCAUGAGAUACACGAAUAAUACCCUCUGUCAUCUUAGCGUGAUCCACAAUAUUCUAAAGAGUAGCUCCAAGCACAACCAUCUGACACGUAGCCAACUAAAGAGAGACAACCAAAUCCUUCACAAACUUUUAAAUCUUCUCAAACUCGGUGAAAAUGCUAUCAUUGGAAUAUUUGGACAAGGCAUGGAAACAUGCCUUAUACUAAAAAAAAACUGUCAUGGAGCCCUGCUCCAAACGAUCAAACUCGUCCCGCAUAGGAUCUCUCAAACUGAAAGGCACAAAUCUCUACAGAAAGGCACCAACAAACUAAUCCCACGACAACUCAAGAGCAUCAACAAGCCUAUAAUCGACAAAUGAUAUCCACUAAUUUCUCACAAUAUCUAUCAACUGUUAUGAGGUAUAAGCAACUCCUUUCACGUAGAAAGAGUGAAACACAACUCGGAACACAAGGUAUGCAAGAACUUCACACGAUAAAGAAUAAAAUGAGGGAAGUUUUCUAAAGAUAUCCUAUAGCCUCUCGAAGAUAGAUACGGACGUCUACGUAUCGAUCUGCAAGACUCUAUUAGACAUCCCGUUCUUACACCAUUGACACCAAUGAAACCUGACUACUCUAAUACCAAUUUGUCAUGACCCAAAAAUGAGGGUCAUGAUGGUAUUUGUCGCGGCAUACCUUGACAAGUAAGCCUAUCACCCAAACUGAUAUGAAAAGAGGAAAAGACAGAAAUAUGUCAAGGUAAGGCUUCUAGAAUGAAUCUGAACCAUAUAAGUAAUCAUAACAAUGCGGAAAGAACUUAUCCAAAAUACCAAUCAUGCCCAAAACUAGGUGUAAAUAGUGUAAGAACUACUAAUACAAUCCAAUAGUCAAAUACAUCAGAAAAAUAACCACAAAGGAAUAACUGUCUCCGAAUACUAAUAAAGACAUAACUACUAUAGAAAGAUAGAGGUGAACUUUGGACGCAUGAAUGUCCAACCGCUACCUUGGAAGCUCCAACAAUCGCCCAAGUCAAGCAAGUUGAGGUGCACUCGAGCUAGGACCUGCACCAAAAGGGCGCAGUAGGCAUGAGUACAGUCCACUUGUACUCAGUAGGUAUCAUAGUCCGACCAAGCAAAGUAGUAAAUAAAGCAUACAAAAUAUACACUAAGGGCACGUCACCUACAAUCAGAAAAUAUCCCACAAUGGUAGCCCACACAGCUUGCACUAACAGUUCUAAUAUAUCUCACAUAUAUUACAACAACACAGCAAGAUAUAGAACAUAAGUAUACAUUAUGUCACAUAUAAAUAGAACAAAAGAGAACAUAUAGAUACAAGAUCAUUAAAUACAAGCAAAGGAAGGUAACACAAAUACAUAGAUGACAAGUCAACAAGGCAAUACAACAUAAAUAAACACAAUAAAGUAAGUGCAAUGGUGAUAAUGAUGAUGAUGAUAAUAAUGCACAAGGUCAUCGCACAACCUUUGGGAUCAUCACACAAUCCCCGUAUACACCUACGGAGGUAAGCCUCCCAACACAGAAUCCAUGAGGGUUCGUCAACCCAUAUACAAUCCACAUAUCUCAUAUGUCCUUUUUGGCACAUUCCUUGAAAAGGUUUUUAUAAGGUGUAAAUCUUUUAAAAAGGUGUUGCCAGUGUUUCUCAGAUGUUGCUACGGUGGUACCAAUGUUUUAUGAAUCAGUAUGAUAUAAAGAUGUAAUGCUCACAACCAAUUACAAUGAGUGUUUACACAAAAAACCACAUUAUAUAUUUCCAUAACCAACCACAAUGAUACUUUUUCACAACCACAUGAGCCAAUAUGCACUCAUUAUUUUCAUAUCGUCCAUGAAUUUUUACAUGUCUCAUUUUUUAAUAAAGUAUGAAUAUAAUCACAAUACACUAAUGGUACUACAUUAAGCAUUUUAACAACACAAUACAAUUAUUCAUAUGUAUUCAAGGCUAUCAAUAUCACAUAGGACCCCACACGGUCAAGCAUAUCACAUAAUAUCUCAGUUUUGACAAUUACAUCACAUAUAAGCCCCCACACGGGCACAACAUAUAGAUAGACAUUUUUCAUGAUUAGUUCCCACCCUUAGCAUGCAUUUUGUACCAUCAUUUACUAUCCAUCCCAGUCUGAAAGAGUUAAGCCAUAACCAACCUCGAAAGCCGAAACUGGUCCUCUACACUUGAACCCGCCACCUUACUUUUCACGAACAAUUCCGAAAUCUACUAAAAACAUUAAAUAUGAAAUCUAUGCAUCAAUAAAAAAUCAAAGACCCCAUAUUGACUACUUUUGGUUCGGGGUCAAAACGGAACCCCAAAAUGGGUUUCCUAAAAAGAAGGGCAAAAUCAAAACUUUACUUCAAAAACAUGUUCCCCAUAUUUUUAGGAACCUACAGUUGAAAACUCAAGUUAAAUCGAGUUAAAAACAGGGUUCAAAUCGAAGAAAAGCUAUUUUGAGCUUUAUCGGAUAAAAUAUUUGAAAUCCGGGUUAAAAUCAAGAAUCAGAGUUGUUUUGACGGUUAAAUUGAUGUAAAAGUAGUAAUUAUAAGAUAAAAAUAUUAUUCAAGUGAAAGGAAUGAAAUUUGAGUUUAAAAUCAUGCUCUAAAAUUUUGUGGUUUUGAGAAAUUAAUCAAGAAAUUAUUAAGAAAAGGAUGAAUUCUUACCUUUAAUCCGUAAUAAAACCAAGAAAAGGGUGUUAAUCUAGCUUCUCAAGCUCUCACAAACUAUACUUUUAAGUUCUCACACUAUUUUAAGGUUUAACUCCGAGGAGUGAAGAUGAAAAUGAGUAAAAUGGGCCAAAAAGAGUGAAAAAUAUGCUAUUUAUUGCAGAUUUUAUGCAAUAGUUGUGCAGAUUUUUUUUCUCAAGUCGAAAUGGAUUUCGAUGGGGUGCCCGGAAUUCAUUUGAAGUCCGAUUUAUGCAAACGAACUAUGCAACCACACUAAAUUCGACGUUUCGAAUGCGAUGGAGAUAUCAAAUUUAAAAAAAAAAAAAACUAUUUUCACAAAUUUGACCUCCGAAACCCGAAAUUAUAAUUUUCUAAAUCGGGGGUCAAAAUGAGAUUUAAAAGACGUAAAAUCAUAACAAACAUGCUAACACCCUAAAAUCGAUAUUCUGGAUCUGCUGGCGGAGUCAGAUUUUCCAUCCGAGGUCGUUUUGAUCAAAUGUGGGUUCCACACCCAUAUUUCUAAUUUUUCAACUUUCCGGCCAAUAGGUCAAAAUGAGCUCCGAUUCACCAGAACUUGAACCAAAGGUCUACCUAAAAUCGAUAUUCUAGAGCUGCUGGCAUAGUUCGUUCGGUCAUUCAUUAUACGGAUCAAAAUAUAUCCACAUAAGUCCAAAAUAAGGCUCUCGAAGCCAUCAAAAAUCACAAUAUUGCAUAAAUGAUACUAAAAUACAUCGAAAAUCAUGCCAAUCACUCCCACACCUCAGAAAUAUCAAAAUGCAACUACGGAGAGGGGUAAAACAAUUAAAUCACACAAAAUCACAAAUUUCACAUAUUUUAUCAAAUUUGUUUAGGUCGUUACACUGUAAGUCCUAGUGACCAAAACAACUAAAACCUAUGUUUUGUCGACAUAGGAGUGAUUCGCCCCCUAAUAGGACAACCUUAUUCAUGUUUCCUAUAUGAGAACAGUAUGAUAUGAUGGUCAAAUGACAUUCAUCAUAGUUCAUACGGCAAAUAUGGAUUGAAACCCUGUUGGUUGGGUGGAUACCGGACCCAUAUAGCCUAUAGGUUUCCUAAGACCGAUGAAACUAUUUAGUCCAUGAAUAAAAUUAAAUGGUGAUUAUGUAUUCAUAUCUUAAGCUCCCUAUUCAUGACUUCUUUUUUGAGAUUUGUAUUACGUAUUUUAUGAUUUACUUUAUAGAUUGCUUUGUCCUUCUUUCCUAGGUUGCAUGUUAGUACUCGUCGUAUUGACCGUCUCUAGACGCUACACUGUUUAAUGAUGUAGGUUCAGAGAUAUUUUUUUAUGAUUUUGUGUAGCAUUAGGACUCUCACAUUCUCUCUCUUGGAUAGUUGGUAACAAGUGGUGAGUCCUUCAUCCUUCAGAAGGCAUUUGGUAUUUUCAUUCAUAUUUUGAUUUUUCUCUUGUUUUAUGGUAUAAUUGGGACCAUGUUCCGGUUUAAGAGAUUUCAUUCUUAAUGUUAGAGGUUUUGUAGACUGAGUUUGAAUAAAUAUUUUUAUGUCGUAUCUCAAGACUUGGGUUUUGAAUUAUUAUUUUAGUUGAAAAUCAUAUUUUAUGGGUCAAUUCCACACUCUAUUAUAACUAUGCUUAUGAUGAUAUGUUAAGGGGUCUUCUCGGAUCUUCGUUGAUCUGGGAUGUCCAUCACGAUCAGGACCUGGGCUCGAAUCGUGUCAUUACAUCCAUCCAAUAUUUUAAAUUUUCUCUCUCUAUUGUACUUGAUACAUAUAUUUUUAUUUUUAUCUCCCCGGACCUCAUUAUUCUCAAAUCUCUACCACUUUUUCAUUGCAUCUCCAUUUUUCUCUCAACUUCUCUUUUUCUCUCACUUUCUCUUGUCAGAAAAUCACCAUCAAUGGCAGCAAAAAACUUUCAUCUUUGCGACACCCACUGUCCAGCCACUAGCAAACCCGUCACCCUAUCCCUUUAGUCCCUUUCCUUAACUCCACACUCACCUCUUUCUUUCUACCUCCACGUUUCCCCAUCUCUGAUCAUCUCCCAUAAAAAAAUCAUUAAUGAACUACCAUAAAAAAAACUCACAAAGCAUCAUCUUUUUCGACAAAUGUCGAAGAAUUUUGAUAAUACAGGUACAGAUCCGGCUAGAUUUGAUCGAAAACGUUUGUUUUUUCUAUUUAGAGAAUUUUAUGAAAUCUAUGUAUCUGACGGAUUUUCAUGUUGUUGAUACAUAAAAUAAUGUAUCUAACUAAAUAUCUAACUAAAGUUAUGUUAAAAAUAAUCAAGUUAUUAAUGACUGGAUGAAACCAAGAAAUAACCCCUCACGUGCGAAAUUAUGGAAGAUCCCCUUUAAGAUCAAACAAUUAUAUCGAAUUAAGUAUGAUUGUAUGUGUGAUUGCAUCUACUAUACCAGGAAUAUCAAUGAACCUGAUUAUUGCAAUUGCUCAAGAUAGCCUUUUUUAGCUUCUAGGAUCUAUUUCUUAGUUCAAGAUCCCUCUUACUAACUGGAAUCAAAGAAUUAGUAGGUCUGUUCCGCCCAAAAUGGGAAUGAGCUAGGGUUUGAAUAAUCAACUCGUUUGCCAUGCAGAGUCUCACAAAAUCUUCCCUCUUUGCCUUCAAUUACAUCAGAAAACGACUUGUAAACUUUAUUAUGACCGUCCCUCAUUGGUUGUCCCCGGAUUCCAUCAUCAAGAAGUGUAUCCACGGCUUCUUGUACUAAUUUCUCUUGACACAUAACUAAUUCUCCUGGCGUAGAUCUACUUGUGAUAUUAAUGUUACUGAUACACAAAUAAAUUUUGUUCAUGAUACAUUAUGCGAGAGAUGAUUUGAUUAUGAUAUAUUGUAAUGAAAUUUUAUAUUACUUGUAUAUAUUUGUAGCACGAUAUAAAACAAUCAAACUAAUAACUUAUGUAUCAUGGUUUAAUUAGUGUCAUGAUAAAUUAAAAAAUUAUCUAUUAUUACAUGUUGUAUGUGAAAUAAGAUAUGAUAUAUAUUAGAGUAUGAUAAUAUAUCGGAGAGUUAAUACAUAAAAAUGACCCUAAACUUGACACUAAAUUAUAACUUUGACCUUAAACUUUGACAGUGCACAAAUAUGACCUUUCACUAUUCAAAACUGCACAAAUAUGACCUCCAAUCUUACGUGGCAAAACGUGUGUUCAACACGCAAAACUGGGCGCGUCCAGCUUAAAAUCUAAGGGCAUAAUACAUAACUAUGACCUUAAACUUUGACAGUGCACAAAUAUGACCUUUAACUAUUCAAAACUGCACAAAUAUGACAUUUAAAUGACUCUUCACUAUUAUUUUUCAUUAUUUUCGGCUCAAAGAUGAAAAUGGCAUCUAAUUUCUUUUGUCAUUGCGGAAAAAGAGCAAUAUUGAAGAUUUAUUAAUUAGGCGGGUCAGCCUCAUGUGAAAAAAUCGAGCGGAUAUGUAUAUAUAUUAUAAAACAGAGGACGAAUUUAAGUUAUAUAAUAUAUCUAANNNNNNNNNNNNNNNNNNNNNNNNNNNNNNNNNNNNNNNNNNNNNNNNNNNNNNNNNNNNNNNNNNNNNNNNNNNNNNNNNNNNNNNNNNNNNNNNNNNNNNNNNNNNNNNNNNNNNNNNNNNNNNNNNNNNNNNNNNNNNNNNNNNNNNNNNNNNNNNNNNNNNNNNNNNNNNNNNNNNNNNNNNNNNNNNNNNNNNNNNNNNNNNNNNNNNNNNNNNNNNNNNNNNNNNNNNNNNNNNNNNNNNNNNNNNNNNNNNNNNNNNNNNNNNNNNNNNNNNNNNNNNNNNNNNNNNNNNNNNNNNNNNNNNNNNNNNNAAAAUUAAAAGAAAGUUAGGUGCUGCUACUAUAGAAAUAAAUAAAAAAAUUAUUAUUAUUAUUAUUAUUAUUAUUAUUAAUACUAAUAAUAACAAUAAUAAUAAUAAUAAUAAUAAUAAUAAUAAAUACGACGUCGUUUUAACACAAAAAAGCAAAACUUUGACAGUGCACAAAUAUGACCUUUAAUCAUUCAAAACUGCACAAAUAUGACUUCUCUCCAAGUCAUCCCUUUUAACGACGUAGCACCGUAUGAUUGGAUUAUCUUUCCACGUAAACGCGAGUGAGACUCACACAUGGGGUUGCAAAAUCGGAGGUUAUAUUUAUUCAGAUUUUGAAUAGUUAAAGGUCAUAUUUGUGCACUAUCAAAGUUUAAGGUCAAAAUUAUAAUUUAGUAUCAAGUUUAGGAUUUUUUUUUUUAUGUAUUAACUCUAUAUCAGAGUCAUAAUGCAUUUGGAUGACAUUAAUGCAUUUGGGUGAAUUAUUUUUAAAUUUUUAAUAAUAUUAAAAAGAAUUAAAAUAAGGAGUAAUUAACUCGUAAAGUGGUGGGAUUUAUGUUGAUUUUUCUAGUUUCUAUGCCUGCCCAUUUGCUGAACUUAUUGUGAAAAUGAAUAGGACCCAUUAGGCGAAGUCCAGUAGCCCACACAAUCCCAAACCGCCAUGGCAGCUCGUUUCGCGAGAUUGAUCGGAGCUUUAUCGUCCUCCGCUACGCAUAAAUCGGCCGCGGGGAUUGAAACUGUUAGCCAUGGCGUAUUUAAGCCUAGAUGGUCAUCUUCUUCUUUUACUGAAGGUCAAUUUCCGAAGACUAAUAAGAAAAUGAAUGAUCGUCUUUCUGGUGUUAUCGAUGUGGUGAAUGACCGUAAGCUUCCGCCUGAACUUCGCGGACAACGUGACGCCGUUAGGUAAUUUCUGACGUCAUCACAGUCAAUUAGUGAAUUCCCUUCUAUUAGCUCCUUGUAUUAGUUAAUGGGCGAGUGUUAGAUAUAGAAUUUACGUAUAUAGUUAAUAUCCUCCUCCACCUAUUAUUUGAGAAAAAUGGAAACAAUUUGUUGAUUCAGCUGCUGGGAUAAUGUGUUAUUGUUUGCAUACAAAUUGCUUAAAUUAGUACAAAAAUUUGCUGUGAUUGGGUAACUUGGUUCAGUAGAUAGUAGCAAUGCUUAGUUCACAGUGUAUUCAUGAUUUAUUUAGGCUCCUAAUUCAUUUCACCUUAAUGAAAAUGUGAUGCCAAUAGUCUUUUAUUAAUAUUUCACGCUAUUGAAAAUUCCACUUUAUCCAUGAUUUGAGAGGAAUACUUGUAUUUUCGUUUGAUAGACGACAGAGGCUGAAACAAACCUGAAUUCUCAACACAAAUACUCAAGUAUUAUAUAAUCACUGAUGACCAGGUGUGGCCUAGUGGUUCAAUGAAGUUAGGUUGAGCACCAUGAGGUCUCAGGUUCAAUUCUUUACAGUGACAACACUAGGUGAUUUCUUCCCAUUUAUUCUAACCUUGGUGGACAAAGUUACCUACUACCUGUUGCUGGUGGAAGGUGGCAAGUAUCCCAUGGAAUUAGUAGAGGUGCUUGCAAACUAGCCCGGACAUCACAGCUAUCAAAAAAAUAAUUACAAUAACAAUGUUUAAACUAUUGAAUUACAAUGGAAAAUAUUGAAAUAACAAGUACUCCCUCCGUUUUAAAAAGAAUGACCUACUUUUCUUUUUAGUCCGUUUAAAUUCUUUUUUUGGCAAUACUUUAAUUUCAACUUUUCACGUGACACGUUUAGGACCACAAGAUUAAAGGACAUUUUGGUAUAUUUGACACAACUUUAAUUUAAGGCCACAAGAUUCAAAAGUCUUCUUUAUUUUCUUAAACUUUGUGUCAAGUCAAAAUAGGUCAUUCUUUUUUAAAUGGAGGGAGUAACUAAGGAUAGAGAUUAAAAAAAGCAUUAGGUAAUUCUUCUCAUCUGUCCUAGCCUUGGUGGAUAGAGUUAUCUGUGGUGGGAGUGGCAUAUCUCUCGUGGAUUUAGUCGAGGUGCGGGAAAGCUGGCCCAGACACCACGGUUAUCUUUAAAAAAAAAAGGAGGAUAGAUAUAAGAAUGGGACGAGAAGCUUAUACUGUAGAAAGAAGAUGAGAUGAACAUAUAGUUUAUUCACAAUAUGCAUAAACUUCUUCCUGCUAAAUGCUAGUCCUUUUAAACCAUCUGUUAACUGGGCCUGGAUCCCAAAUAAAACUAUUCAUUUUUACUCGGCCCAACAAUCCCAAUUGAACCAGCCUCAUUCACCACUUCUAUCUCAUAGGCUUGUACAUAGUCGGUUUGGUUCAGAAUAGAGGCAAAGCCAAGAUUUAGAGUUUAUUGGUUUUGGAUUCUAGUUCUUUGUAGUUCCGGGGUUCUAAAUUUACAAUUUGUACAACAACAACAUACCCAAUGUAUUCCCACAAAGUGGGGUCUGGGGAGGGGAAAGUGUACACAGUCCAUACCACUUCCUCAGAAAUUUACAAUUUCGUACAUAUUCAAUAAUUUUUUAAUACAAAUGCAAAGUUUGGACCAAAGCUAUUUGGGUUUGGCCAAACUCACAAUCAAUGAGCUAGCUCUGCCCCUGAUAGACAGUAUGGUUAAAAGACCCAUCUCUAGCAAACUGCAUUCUUUAUGGAUAAUGAGUUGUGAACUUGUUCCAUUGAAGCAAUCUAUAUAAAAUGAGAUUGCUAAGGCGGCUUUCUGAUUGUGAUCUGCUAAUAUAACACGUGUCCUAGAAAUAUAUUGCAUGUCUUCCACACCCAAAAAGACUAACUAUUGGAUUCUGCAUUUGAAUAAGUACAACAUGCAUCAACUUGUAAUUGUUGUACUGAUACACAUUGCUCCUACUGGGCAGUUAGCUUGGUGUUUCCGAGUAACAAAAACGUAGGUUCUGACGUGAAUCCAGAUAGUUAUAAAUCUGGAAGUGUUUUCACUGUAUUUUGGGGUUAUAUAGUAGUAGGUUCGCUGUAGUUUAGGCUCCAAUUGCGGUAUUCUAUUAACGCAUUAGGUGUGGAAGAGCUACCAGCAGUAUAUCUUCUGGUGUCUAACUGUAAUCUUCUCUUAGUCCAAGUCACUUGAAUCUCUUUGAUAUAUUUCUGACCAAUGCUCUGUUUGAAAUGUCAUCAAGGAUAUUCGUAUGAAUUACUGGAGGAACAUUGAAGUUAAAACUAAUGUUACUUUUGAUUCAGUGAUUUGAGAUAGAAUUUGAUGUUUCGUGAUAGGCAUCUUAUUUUUCGUACAGUAAGUACCUCUGCAGAAAACUUUUCCACCUCUAAUUGUUAGAGGAGGAAGUUUGUAUUAGGUUGUCAACUUGUCAUAAUGCCAUCAUUGGUGUUUGCCGCAAAUGAAUUGAGCAGAGUCCUUGUUUUUUUCCAAGAAGUCAGGAUGCUCUUAGCAUGUAAAUGAAAUUGUAAUGGUAAAGAGUCAGAAGAAUGUUCUUUAAAUUCAUGAAAAAUGUGUUGCAUGAUUCUCUAGCUAUCACUUAGUUAUUAUUGUGUGUUUCUCUCGAUUAAUUGCGAAUGGUAGGAUUCUGAUUGAUGUUGACAAUGUUGCAGUGUUGUUUUGCAAAUUUCUUAAUGGAAUGCUAGUUUGAAUCUUGCAUGGAAUAUUGUUCAGGUCAGAAACUGACAUUAUCAAUGUUGUUGAACAACGGAUAUGGCAUUCCAUGGAAGAAGGGCAAUUUGAGAACUUGCCAGGGAAAGGAAAGCCGUUGGACCUCAAUACUAAUCCUCAUGCUGAUCCAGCUGAAGAUACCUUGUAUAGGAUUCUCUCCAAAAAUAAAUGUGCACCUGAGUGGGUUGAAUUGAACAAAGAGAUAAGAACCAAAGUAGCUGAGUGGAGAUCAGCACUUAAAAAGGCAUGGAUGCACAGAGGCUCUGUUGAUGAUUCUAAAUGGAUCGAGGCAUCUGGGUCUCUAAAGCUCCAGAUUCAUGACAUUAAUAACAAGGUGAGCAACGCGAGGAACUGAUUUGCUUUUCAAUUUACCUAUUCCUGCGAGCAUAUACAUGCAUCUGGAUUUUCCAUAUUUGAUGUUAUAUCAGUAUUUAUGCUCUGCUAAGAGAUGGCUGAACUAGGAGACUAUUGACAAGAAUUUGUCGAACUUUGGCUGACUAAGCGCUUGAAAGAUUCAUAACAGCCAUGUCUUCAUUUCGAAAAUAACUUUCUGCUGCUAUAUAUUUCUAAAUGGUUGGUAGGGAAACAAUGCGACUUUUGGUUUAGUGAUUUCUAAAAAGUAUUUGGUUUAAUUUCUAAGAACAACGUACUAAUUUGGAUUUAGCUGGGAAGAAUUACGCUUGCAAAUCAGUUAGUGUGGAAAUAUCACUGAAACGCUAAAACUUUAUUAGUCGCUUUCUUAUGGGAGAAACUUUAAUAGAUCAAAACUGUCUACUUGCUACUAAAUGGUUUACUUGUCUACUUGCUACUUUAAUAGAUCAAAACUGUCUACUUGCUACUAAACAUUUUCAUAAGAAUGGGAAAAAUGGAAACAGUAUAAAGGCAAAAACAUUUGUUUGGCAACUUCCGACAGUGGCUUAGCCAAAAGCUGGACUUUUGGCUGUUCUUUGUUCGUGGUUUUGAUUCUGAUGUUGGUUUUGGGAAACAUGUUUUUCAAAUUGGUCUGGAAACAUGUUUGGCUGGCACAUUUUAGAAUUGUUGACAAUUGGCAAAAGUUAAUUAAAGUCACGAUACUUGCAAGAGCUAAAAUGUGUGCUUUGGCUUCAGGUUUUCCGGUACAACCUUAUUGUGCCCUUUGGCCGCCAAAUUUUGGGACUCAAGUGGGAGAAGGAAAUGGACCGACUGAAAGAAGAAAGUACUGGAAGCUGAACAUUACAGUGCAGCGAUUGGAACAAAGACACAUUUGGCUGUGAAUUCCCAUGUGCACACAUAUAUCUACACAAACCAAUUGAUAGUUCAAGUCACAUACUCCCGUAAUCUAUUUUCUCGUUACUAAUUCCCUUCCAUCCCCCCAUUUAGUUGACAUGAAUAGUUGAGGGAAAUGUCCGUAUCCAUGUAUUGUUUUCAAUAACUCAUACUUGUAGCAAUGAAAUACUAUAUAUUCCUCCACCAAGUGAUAAAUGGUCAGUUACAAAUAUUUAGGACCAAGGUUUUGUUGUUGUUGUAGUUUAUCCCCUGAAAGUAGAAACUUCGAUAUAUUAAGCUAGUUAGUUUCUUGUAUUCUUGCUUCUUGUUUUCUACGUUCCUUCCUACUCAGUAUUUGGGGAAUUUGUGUUUCUGAAUCUGUUGCCUCUCUACUAUACAGCCAAUGUAAAGUCUCUGGCUUAAAAGUUUGACUCAAAGUUUAUUAUUUACUUGUAUAGAAGAUCAAAAUUUCGUGUCUUGAGCCGGGGUCUAUCGGAAACAGUCUUUCUACUUCUUUAGAGGUAGAGGUAUGGACUGCGUACAUCUUACCCUCCCCAGACCUCACUAUGGGGGAAUAUACUGGGUUUGUUGUUGUUGUUGAAGAUCAAAAUCUUUAUAAUUAGUGGAUAAUCAUUUGAAGAGGUCCAGCGUUGAAAUCUGGGAUACUUGAUAUUGAGGGAUACCAGAAAGACUGCAUCAUGAAAUACCAAAUAGUUGCACAGUGAUCAAACCUAAUAAAGUGUCUUCCCCUCAAUCUUGGAGUGGUUGGUAAUGUCAGAAUAUGCCAAUAUCGAAAUGGUAAAGAUAGAUUUACCAAAGAUAAAACAAAUUCGUGGCCAUAAUAAAGUUAAGGGAUCAUAGAAACGAUCAAUCAGUCGGAAGGUGUAAUAAAAUGAGAAAUCACUUGGAGAUGUUUUGGUCAAGCUUUACAUAAGCUUAUAAAUUCAGGGUAUAUACGCGUGUGCAGCAAGGUAAGAUAAGAUCAACAUAAAAUCAAAUGGAAUAAGUUGCCUCAAAAGAUCUACAAUAUUCCAAGACCUAUGUAAUUUUUUUUUUGCCAAGAACAUUAGGAAAUAAACAUAAAGGAACCAUAUAUGCAUGAUCAGAAGCAACUGCGAUUAAAAUAGUUCAUGAUAUGGUACAAUUACACCCAGUGUCUACAGGAAAUGUUCCAUUAUUAGUUUUGAGAUGUGUGACGAGAAGUCAACAAUGGUCGAAAAGUUAUAGUGAAGUGCAAUUCUAAGAAAGAAUGCCAUGCAUCUAAACUGAGUAGCAAACACUAAAACCAGAUGAGGCAUUGUGCGUAUGAAAGCAUGUCUAAGUUACAGUGGAAGGAUGGUAAGUGACUGAUAUUUCUACAACAUUUAAUUCGAUAAGUCCCUCAGGAAGUUGUCGUCAGCCUGAAUAUGAUCUUAAUCACACCUGGAAAUAUUUAUACAGAUGCUUUCAGUAACAAGCAGCCAAAAUUACAGCAUUCAUACAUUGAUCAAGCUGCUAAAUAUGCCUUAGCAGCAAGAUGUGUGAGGGCACGUUUGUGGUAACUGCAUCCCAGUUUUUUGGACUUCUGCACGAAUGUUGUAAGAUCAAUUUCUCGAUCAAGGAGCUGGCCGAGCAAGGCUUCAGAUUCCUCCUCCGUUUUCUUCAUGGCAUCUGUAUCAUAGCAACAUUACAUCAGUAAACUGACAUUCUUUUGCUGGCAAGUAUAAUCAUUUCGGUUAUCCAAUCCCAUCAGCAAGAACAAAAUCAAUGCUUUAACCAUCCGUUCAAUAUUCUAAGGGCAUUUCAAUUUGGUAUCUCAAAAUUGUAUUAAUCACAACAUCUACCAAAAACGGGGAAAAAUAAAAGUUAUGAUCACUAAGCAACUAGAGUUCCAGAUUUAUCGAAUAAUCAUUUAGGAACUUCUGUGGUAGAAAGCAGCAUAUGGUUAACACUUCAAAUUGGAAAAUUAUUCUUGAUUUACAAACCAAUCCCCAUAUUCCCCACCCUCCAUUCCCAACAUAACAACAUCACAAAGAGAGUAGCAAUAUGAUACAAAAUUGAGCACAAACAAUUAAAGUUAAAAUUUCCUAUUACAUGUAGUUGCCUCAUUACAUAGAGUUUCUGCACUGAGCUCCUUGAUUAAAAGUGGAUAGAAUUAAAUUCACGCUUGAAAAACAAUCAGAAGAAGACUUGUACACAAUCUGAUGAAAACAUUCAUAUGGAUGGAACUUUUUCAUUGGGACAUAAUCAAAAAUGGUAGGGUGUACUAACCCAAAAAGGAAAUUAAAUAGUGAAGCAGAAUGGAAAGAAACUAAUGUUUUUCAGCAAGUUUGAGGAAAAUAAUCAUAUUUGUCAAAGUAUAUCAAAGUGGACACCAGUGAAGAUUGCUCUAUAAAAGGAAGUUGAGCAUUAUGCAAAGCUGUAAUUGUGCAUUGGCAACAUAGCAAGAGUUUGACAUAGACACUGGACUACUCAGAUGUCAGAUCCAUCAUGCACCACGACCGAGACAACAAGGCAAUCCGUGUCAAGCUCUACAUGUCUAGGAACUGAAAAGUUUCUUUUGACAUAUCCUUUAAGUGCUGACUCAACUCCUACUGGACCCUUAGUUCAACUUGUUCAAGUUAGAACGUCGUGAUGCAAGUACCCUGGAAGUCUCCUAUUAUCAUAUUGAUCUGUAAUUGUACUUCAAAUAAUUUUAUCCGAUGUAAGAAGAAUAACAAACAAUCAAAGGGAGAGGAAAAAGUAUACAAGCUUUAUGUGCUUCCACUAUUUACCUUGUAGCUGAUGGAGAAGUGAUACAGGAGAGUACAACUUCAGAAGCUCUUCUUUCCUCCUUUCCAGCUCAUGCAUCUUUUCUUGAGCAGCAGCCAAUUCAGUUGUGCAGAUGAUUCUACACUGUGAACAAUAAAAGAGGGUGCACAGAAAUUUUUUUCCAAAGUCAAUGCUUCAAUGCUAAAAUGUUACAAAUGCUUUUACAUAUAAGUAAAUGCCCCAGCUGACCUGAUUCCUAAGCUCCAUUAUCCAGGGUUCUUUUUCUAAAUUCUCCCCUGCAUAAGGAUUUUGUUCAAAUCUAUCUGUAGAUACUAGUUGACAUAUCAUAACCUAUAAUAAGGCAAUAAGCAACCUAAAACUUACUAACAAGCAGCAGAGUUUCGUUCCAAAGCUCAUCCCUGACCUGAUCAAUAUGGGGAAAACAGCAAGAGUAAGAUGCUAUCAUAGAAAUUAACAUAGAACAGUGCACCUGUUACAACAAAAGAUAACAUCAAGGUGACUAUAACUGAUCAAAGUUGUGCUCUCAUGUUGAAAUGCCUUGCUAACAUGCAUAAGACAUGAGGAUACACAACUCAUUACAUGCAUUGUGUAAGAAGAAGAGCAGAGCAUACAGAAGGUAGAAAGAUUAUUCAAGUUCAUUUCAGCAAGGAAUAAAGGAAGUAAGAACAAGGUUACCCAACUCCAAACAUGCAAAUAUUAUUAACUUUGAAUUGUAUGAGACAAGAUCACCAAAAAUCAAUGACGCACAUUGUUAUGCAGAAGUCUCAUGAGAUUGUAAGCCACUUGAAUGGAUUCAAUACAUUAUGCCAUCAUGAAUGCAGAACCUCACACGGACAGAACAACUAAAUUCAGUCAUCCCCCAUGUAUAAUUUGAUUCCUUACUACCAGAAACAGAAUCUCACUUGAUCCUCCAUUCAAUUUGGAACAUGUAUAAUUUGGUGGAGCAUAAUAUCAUAUUUGAACAAAACGAGGAUAAUCAGAUCCAUAGUGUAUGCUUGAUUAUAAAAUGAAUCAGGGUAUAGAAAGACCGGCCGAACAGAACAAGACAAGUAAUUUUAUUACUUACACUAUCCUGAGUCUUGACAGCCUCAAGUGAAAUUAAGAAGUUGUGAUACACAUCCUUGCCAGUAACAAGUUUCUUUAGCUCAUUAACACUGAACAAAUUAACAAGAAAGCAUAUUGAAAAUCAGAAACAUAAAAUUGCAAAAAGAAGAAUGACUCAAAAGGCUAAGCUCUUCAUUUGAUUGUUUAAUCAACAGAAAAAGUGCCUCUUUUUAUUUCUUUUUUCCAAUCCCAAGCACAAAAAAAAAAAAAGA
rnacentral:lncRNA from 1 species